UUUUUUUUUUUGUGUUUCUCAAUUUGAAAGAAAAGACAAGUCGAAACAUGUUUAGGUAAACCAAAGAAUUAUUUUUAGUUGAUGAACUUGUGGGACUGUUUUGUAGUCUGUUUCGUGAUGGUAUUGGGUUGUCUAUUUUUCUACUGAUUAUAUGUAUUUGAUAGGAGGAAGGGUGUGGAGAAACACCACAUAAUGGCAAGGUUGUUUGUUGGUCGUUCGUCAUAACAUUUUCGGAUUGUUUGACACUAUUAUAGUUGUCGUAUUGUGUAUGAAGUGAUAGGGGUGUGUUGGACUGUUUGUGACGGUUUUGACUAGUGUGAAGUAAUAUAUAUAGGGGAGGUGCUGUCCGUUUUAUUGUAAAAUAAGUUUGUGGUCAAUACAUAAUAGUUACAACGCUUAAAUGAUAACGAGAUUGUCAUUUCUGUAAUUGUAGACUAAGGAGCCGUGAAAUUGCAUAGCUUGAGGUUGGGAAGAAUAUAAAAGGUAUGUUAAGGCUUUUACCUAUUUCUUUUAUCAUGAUCUUAAGUGACAUGAACAUAAAUAGUAUGCCAAUUCAUAACGGAUCUACUCCUAGAAAUUUAAGUUGUUCAUGUUGUUCUUUCCUUAGAAAGAUAUUCUAAACAACUGUGUAUGAUCCUUAAAUCCUACUAAGGUUCAUAUUGAUGGUAAGGAUGUCCAUAAUGUUCUUAAGUCACUCCAAAAGGUUUAGAACCUUAUUCCAUGAGUAGAGCAUCCAUUAUAUAUAUGUAUCUAUUUUACUCUACCGAGCCGCGCUAUUGUCGGCCGGGUACGGUACCUAUUAGGUGAUUCCAUGAGUUGAGCAUGCAUUAUAUAUAUGUAUCUAUUUUACUCUAUCGAGCCGCGCUAUAGUCGGCCGGCUACGUCACCUACUAUGCAACCACUGAUCAGUUGGGUUUUACCGAGCACCACGUGGGCGGGUACGAUUCUACCGAGCCUUAUGAUGGCUGGGUACAUUUUUACCGAGUCCUCUAUGAGGCCGGGUACGAUUUGAUGAUGAUGAUGCCUACAGAGGAAAAUAUUUUUAAAAGUUUAUGUAUAUAUAUGUAUUAUGCAUUUCAUAUCAGUAGCCCCCAGAGGUACUCAUAUGUUAUAGGUUGUAUCUCUCUUUACAUUGCUGUUCUUGUUUAUGCUUUCAUGCCUUACAUACUCGGUACUUUAUUCGUACUCAGCCCCCAGAGGCACUCAGAUGUUACAGGUUGUAUUUCCUCUAUCUCUUUUUACAUUACAGUUCUUAUUUAUGCUUUCCUGUCUUACAUACUCGGUACUUUAUUUGUACUGACGUCCCUUUUGCCUGGGGACGCUGCGUUUCAUGUCCACAAGUCCCAAUUGAUAGGUUGAAAGUCCUCCUAGUAUGCUAUCAGCUCAGCGGAGGUGUUGGUGCACUCCACUUGCUCCGGAGUUGCCUAUUUGGUCAAUAUGCUUUGAAUAUGNNNNNNNNNUUCUUAUUUAUGCUUUCCUGUCUUACAUACUCGGUACUUUAUUUGUACUGACGUCCCUUUUGCCUGGGGACGCUGCGUUUCAUGCCUGCAGGUCCCGACUGAUAGGUUAAAAGUCCUCCUAGUAGGCUAUCAGCUCAGCGGAGGUGUUGGUGCACUCCACUUGCUCCGAAGUUGCCUAUUUGGUCGGUAUACUUAGAAUAGGUAUUGAUUGGUAUGGCGGGGCCCUGUCCCGACCUUUAUCAUUUUAUGUACUCUUAGAGGCUUGUAGACAGAUGUCAAGUGUAUGGAUACAUUUAUGGCUUUGUUAGACUACAUUUUGAGUUUAUAAAUGGUCAUGCGGCCUUGUAGGCCCGUAUAUCACAUGUAUAAGUUUGCAUAUCAUGAUGGGUAUUCAGGCUCACUUACCCACUAUAGCAUGAUAAGAAAGAUAUGUUAUGUUGGUACUAGGUCGAGUAAGGUACUGGGUGCCCGUCACGGCCCUUUGGUUUGGGUCGUGACACCACCUCACUAGUUCUCGAUGGUGGUGGGACAGCAACACCUUCAACAACUUUAUCAGCUUCAUCAACAUCCUCAGCCAUAACUAUCGGCUCGCUCCAAUUGUGAUUUUGCUAGCCUGGAACAAGGCUUUCAAUGGCAGUUUCCCAUUAACUCUAGGAUUUUUAGGGACUCUAGCAGCACAGCACAACUUGGUGACCAGAGAAGGGAAGUAAAAACCUUUGAGUUCCUCAUGUGAGUGAACGAACAUCUCAUCAUGGAGGAGCUUGGUGAUGUCAAAAUCUUGGUGGGUCAUAAAAUUGUAGAUAGCUACUUCCCGUGACCUAUUGACAUCGAUCAUGUUGCUGGAGGGUAGCAAGCAAUUGUUGAUAAUGGCGAGCCAACUAAGCCUCCCAAUUAAGAUACUGUGAGUUCAAUUUGAUCCCGUGCUUUAUCCAUAUAUCCUCCCUGUAAAGCACACAUAUUACUUCAAGAAGUGGUGCCCAAUAGACAGUUGGGCGAUAAUAAGCAAUGUAAGUAUCACCCUCGUGAAUACUGGCAACCGGUACAAACGGCGUAUGGCCUUGAGGGACGCAUUUACCUGGGUGUUGCGUACUGUGACAACCCCAUUCUCAUGUUCCAGGAAGUUACUAUAAAACUCCUUCACCAUUUGUACAUUCACCUCCUUCGGUUCCUCAAAGAAGAUGUCCACCCGACACCUCCUCAACUAAGCAAAGAUAUUGGGGAAUUCCACUUACAAAGCUUCCCUGUCAAUAUUCACAUCCGCUAACACUUUCUUUAACGCCUUGGCAUUAUAUCUGUCCUCAGCAGGUUUGGAGACAAACCUACCGCGGUCAAUCUGUGUCGCACUAGCUUGACCCUGAGCUCUUGAAGAACUUCCUGAUCCACUAGCGGAGAAUCCUGUGUUGCGUCUCUUCCUAGAUGGAUGCAUUGUAGCCGUCAAACACAGAAUCUCCUAUCAGUGAGGGUGUGAGUUGUGUGAACCAUGUGCAGUUACUCAGACUUCACCACUACCAUGGUCACAUUAGCCCUUAGAACUCCAUUGGGGCAAUUUCAUAAACAUCUUGUGAGCAAGGUGUUAUCUUAACACAUUAGCCCUCAUGGAUACAUCAAUUCAUCCCCCAAAUAAAUAAUUUGCACUCACCAUUUCACCCCACAACAAUUAGUCUAACACAUACAAGCACAUACAUCUCUACAACAUUAGGCACAUAACCCAUUAAAAAGCAAAAAGGAAAAUCAAAAUAAAAAAUCUACGAAAAAUAAUACACAAUUAAAACAUUAAACUACCAUAAAAACUAAAACAAAAAUACAAGAGAAGAGAGAAGCAUGACAUACCUGCGAUGAGUAGAGAGUGAGAGGAAUGUGGGUUGGGGGAGAUGGGUGGAAUUAUGGGAGAAGUAAAGAAGAAGAAGAAAAAGAAGAAGAAGAUAUGAGAGAAGACUUAGGGUUCUUAGAGAGAGAGAGUAGAUGGGGUAAGUGAGGGGGAUCGGGAAUUCAAUGAAAGAAAAGGGGGAAAAGAACUUAGAAAAGAAAAUAAAAUAAAAAAAUAAUUAAAAAAAUGAAAUUUUACUUACCUGGUGACGAAAAUCGGUGAAUCGCCGCGGACAACCGUGGUCCCACCGCUGCCGUGGUGAGUGACAGAGGCCAAGGCAGAAUGUUUUCAUUUGUCUGCGGUCAUGGUGCGGGGAUUUUUUUUAUUUAUUUUUAUUUUUAUAAGGUUAGAGAAGAAAAUAAAAAAAGACCAUUCGUGGGUCGCCUCCCAUGCAGCACCUGAUUUAACGCCACGACACGACGUAGGCUGUGAUCAUCACUUCUCAUUCGCUUACUGGGGCUCUUCCAAAGCUAUUAUCUCUCUGUCCCCUUUUUCUUCUACCAUUCCAAGGUAAUGUUUCAACCUUUGCCAUUCACCAUAAACUUAUUUGUCCCAUCUUCUGAUUCAAUCUCUAUUGCUCCACUUAAGAACAUUUGCACCACUCUGAAGGGUCUGACCAUCGGGACUUCAACUUACCCGGAAACAAUCUCAAUCUUGAGUUGAAUAACAACACUAGCUCUCUGGAUUUGAAGUUUCCAUCCAAGAUGUGCUUAUCAUGAAUUAGUUUUAUCCUUUUUUGUAUAAUCUAGCACUCUCAAAUGCUUGUAAGCUGAAUUCCUUGAGCUCAUAUAACCUAAUGACUCUGUUGGUGCCUAUUGUCUCCAUAUCCAAGUUCAAAUGCCGCAAUGCCCAAAGUGCUUUUAUGUUCGAGCUCUAUUGGAAGGUGGCAUGCCUUUCCAAACACCAAUUUGUACGGCAACAUACCAAUUGAAGUUUUGAAUAUUGUACGGUAUGCCCACAAUGCAUCAUCAAGCUUCAUCGCCCAAUCGGUCCUUGUUGCAUUCACUGUUUUUGUAAGGACACUUUAAUUUCCCUGUUGGGUACUUCAACUUGCCCGCUUGACUACGGGUGAUAAGGGGUGGUCAUUUUAUGGCGAGCUCCAUACUUUUCCAACAUCCGUGUGAACGCUCUAUUGCAAAACUGGUUUCCACCAUCACUGGUUAUAGCUCUCGAGGUGCUAAAACGUGUGAAGAUGUUUUUCUUUAGAAAGCCAUUACCCGUUUUGCAUCAUUGGUUGGCAGAGCCACCGCUUCUACCCACUUGGGGACAUAGUCAACCGCUACCAAUAUGUAUUUAUUGCCAUAUAAGCUGAAAAACGACCCCAUAAAGUCGAUCCCUCACAUGUCCAGAACCUCCACCUAUUGAGUUGUGGUCAUUGGCAUCUCGUGUUGGCGAGAUAUGUUGCCCAUCCUUUGGCAUUCAUCGUAACUUUUGAACCAAUUGUGGGCAUCUUAGAACAAAGUUGGCUAAUACAACCCCAAUUCCAACACCUUAACUGUUGUCCGAAUUCCUCCAAAGUGUCCACCAUACGGUAAAGCAUGGAAAGCCUACACAACAGAAUGUUGAUAUUUCUCGUGGAUACACCUCUAGAUCAUUUUAUCUACACAUAUUUUAAAUAGUAGAGAUUCAUCCCAAUAUAAACAUUGAAAAUUGCAAAAGAGCUUUUUCUUUUGAAUUGAAGAGAGUUCAUAAGGUACAAUACCACUUGCUAAAUAAUUAGCAAUAUAAGCAUACCAAGGCAUCUCCUCCAUUAUCAAUGUAGUAACUGUUCAUCCGGGAAUAUCUCUGUUAUAUCCUCAACUAUACCUUCCUUUCAGCUCCUUCCAACCUUGAGAGGUGGUCGGAUACUUAGUUCUCUGUCCCUUUUCUAUCUCGGAUUUCCAUAUUGAAUUCUUGUAGCAAAAUAAGCCGGCGAAUCAAGCGUGGCUUUGAAUCCUUCUUUUUUAUCAGGUACCUAAUUGUUGCAUGGUCAGCGUAAACAAUAACUUUUGAACCAAUCAAGUAUGACCUGAAUUUGUCGAAUGCAAAAAAGAUAGCCAUAAUCUCUUUUUUUGUCACAGUGUAAUUGCGUUAUGCACCGCUUAGCAUUCUAUUUUCAUAGUAAAUUAGGUGCAUCAGUUUAUUCUUUCGUUACCCCAAGACUGCUCCUACAGCAUAGUCACUUGCGUCGCACAUGAGCUCGAACGGUUGCUCCCAGUCGGGUGCAACAAUGAUAGGUGUAGUCACCAAUCUCUUCUUCAGCUCCUCAAAUGCCAACCUACAAUCACUAGAAAAAAAAGGGCUGAUCCUUUUCAAGGAGUUUGCAUAACAGGUUAGCAAUCUUAGAGAAAUCUUUAAUAAAUCGCCUGUAGAACAUGGCGUGCCCAAAGAAAUGUCUCACCGCCUUGGCUGAAGUAGGUGGUGGAAAUUUCUCAAUCAUGUCAACCUUAGCAUGGUCAACCUUAGCAUGUUCAACCUCGAAUCCCUUACUGGACACUCAUCUCCCCAAGACUAUCCCUUCUUGUACCAUAAAAUGGUACUUUUUCCAGUUCAACACUAAAUUUGUCUCCACACAUCUUCUUAGUACUCUUCUUAAGUACUGAAGUCAGUCCUCGAAUGAAUCCCCCACCAUGGAGAAAUCAUCCAUAACUACCUCCAUAAUGACCUCAACCAUGUCCAUGAAAAUGGCUAACAUACAUAGUUGAAAUGUCGUCGGUGCAUUACAUAGCCCAAAAGGCAUUCUCCGAAAGGCAAAGAUGCCAUACGAACAGGUAAAUGUUGUUUUCUCUCUGUCUUCGGGGGCUAUUGAGAUCUAAUUGUACCCUGAAUAUCCAUUCAAGAAAUAGAAAUGAGAUCGCCCAACCAACAUAUCCAACAUUUGGUCAAUUAAUCAAAAGGAAAAAUGGCCCUUCCAAGCGGUUGUGUUCAAUUUUCGGUAAUCCAUGCAAAUCUGCCAUCCCGUGAUUGUACGAGUCGAGAUCAACUCGUAAUUCUCAUUUUGUACAACCGUCAUUCCUCUCUUUUUCGGGACACAUUGAAUAGGGCUAACCCAAUUGCUGUUAGAGAUGAGGAAGAUGAUACUCCCUUCUAACCAUUUGAUCACUUCCUUCUUCACCACCUCUUUCAUAUUUGGGUUCAGCCUUCGUUGAUGUUCUCUGGAAGGUUUGUGCCCUUCUUCCAAGAAAAUCUUGUGCAUACAAAAAGCAAGAUUGAUACCCUUUAUAUCUGCCGUGGUCCAAUUAUUGGCAGUUUUACAUUCUUGUAACACCUGUAAGAGUUGCUCUACAUGCAUAGCUAGCAAACCGGAUGAUAUAAUAACACGUAAAGUAGAAUUAGGUCCUAAGAAAGCAUACAUGAGGCGAGCUGCAAGUGGUCAGCUCCAGUUUGGGUGGUUCCUCUACUAAUGGUUUUGCCGAUGGUGUAACUCUCUUGUCUAACUCGAGGUACUCGAACUGAGGUCCCUCUUCUAGAAUCCUUGACCUUCGGGUGCCAUGACUUACUCUUCCAACCCUUGACCAUCCAUCUUAUCUAAAAUUUUCAAGCAAGCCCCCAAUGGAUCUUUAGUAGUCAGGGUCUCAUCAUCUUCAUGUAGUAUCACAUCCACUGCCUCCACUAGGGAGCAAUUAGCAUAUUCACUGGGUCUCCUCAUUGAUUCCUGAACGUUGAAUAUAACCUUUUCAAUGUUCAACCUCAUUUUAAUUCCCCAGUUUCACAAUCGAUCAAUGUUCUCCUAGUGGCUAAGAAUGGCCUCUUUAGAAUGAUGUGUAUCUCCUCAUCUACCAAGCAAUCCAAAAUAACAAAGUCUACAGGGAAUAAAAACUUCUCCACUUGUACCAACACAUCAUCAAGAAUAUUUGUCGGCCUUUUAACCGUGCGGUCAACUAGUUGCAAAAGCAUCAAAGUCGGUCUAGCUUUGCCAAUGCCUAGUUUUUUAUAUAUUGCCAAGGGCAUUCAGUUUAUGUUGGAUCUUAAGUCACAUAAUUCUCUUGCAAAGGAAUACCUCCUUAUAGUAUACGGGAUAGUGAAGCUACCUGGGUCAGACAUCUUUUGAGCCAUGGGUCUUGUCACUACCGCACUGCAUGUCUGUGUCAGAGUUACUAUGAAUAGGUCCUGAAAGUCAAACUUGCAUGACUUUAGGUCCUUCAUCAUAUUUUUGUAGCCUUUCAUCGCCCUCAAAGCAUCUAUCAUAGGAAUAUUCAACUUAAUUUGACGAAGCAUCUCCAUGAAUUUCCUGUAUUGAUCUUCCUUCUUUUGUUUCGCCAGUCUAUGAGGGAAUGGUGCAGGUAUCGCCCUUGGUGCACUGCUUGCAGGCUUCUCUUUGUUGGGGUUCUGUGGCACAAGAGGUACCACAUGUUCUGUAUCUUGUUCACUCUCUUUAGCCUUACUCUUGUCGUCCUGAACAUGUUUAACCACCACUUCAGUAAGUUCUACUGAUUCAUCAACCUCCAAUGGAACUGGAGUUGCUGGCACAGUCUCUCUGAUGGAUUGUGAAACUUAUUGCUCCCUGUCUAAAUCUCUCCAAUUUUGGAGACUUACUGCCAUCAACUGAUUGGGGUUUUCCUCCUUAGGGUUAAUGUUCGUGUCUACUGGAAAUGUUCCCCGGGGGCGGUUGUUUAAGGCCACUGACAACUACCCCAAUUGAGUUUCAAUAUUCUUUAUUGCUGAGUCAUGCACUGCCAACUUUUCCUGCAUCUUACCAUUUGUUCCAAUGAGUUGUUUAAGCGUACCCUUGAUUUCUACCAUGUUGCUAUCAUGUUUCCGAGGAGGUGGAUGAUAUGCUAACUAUUGCUGAUUCUUCUGUGGAUAGCUCUGUUGUCUAUGAUAUGGCACCAUUUGGCCUUGAGGCUGCAUACCUCCAGGUUGUGGCAUGUUUGGUCUGUACUGCUGAUUGGGUGCUGGCCUCUAUUAUUGUCCUCCUUGUCUUUGACCCCCAAAAUUAUUGACAUAAUUCAUAUCCUCUCUUAACCCUUGAUUGUCACCUUCUCCACUCCAUGAACACACAUAAGACUGAUUAAUUCAAGGUGUACACAGUCCUCCAUUUAUUGUGUCAAGGAUAUGCACUUGCUUUGUACCUAUCUCGUCAAUCUUCUUUGUCAAUAUACUCAUCUGAGUCAUGAGUGUGGCUAUAUUCUCUGCAUGUGAAUUGUUUGAGUCAACAGGAACUGAAUGCACUAUUGGUGGUCGUACCUCUCGUCAUCUACCCCAAAUUUUGGGACAUCUUGUCAAGAAGGAUUUUACACUCAGUGAAUGUCUUGUUCCAAAAUGCAUCCCCAACUGAAGCAUUUACAUUGGCCUUUAUAUUGUCUGCUAACCCCAUGUAAAAUCUCUGACCGAGCAUCUGGUUUGGAAUACCAUGGUGGGGACACUUCACUAUCAUCCCUUUGAAUCUUUCCCAAGUUUCCUGCAAGGUCUCAGUAGGCUGCUACUUGUAAUACAAUAUCUCAUUAAUUUGACUUUUAGUCUUGUUAUGCGAGUAAAAGUUGUUCAAGAACUGCUUGACUAAUUACUCCCAGGUGACAAUGGAAUUUAUUACGAUCAAUUCAGCCAAGUAUAAGCUUCCCCAGUCACAGAGAACGGGAACAGUGACAACUUGAUAGAUUCUGGGGUCACAUUUGGUUGUCUUAGGGUCACACAAAUCAAUAGAAAAUUUUUCAAAUGUUGUUGAGUGUUUUCAAUCGUGACCUGGAGAACAAUCCUUUAUCCUGCAGAAGAUGCAGCAUGUUGUUGGUGAUCUGGAAUGUCUCCGCUUGUAUUGGGGGCACAAUAAUGGUAGUGGCCAGGUUGUCAGGUUGGUUGUGCCCAAUCAUAAAAUGCAGCUUCUAGGGGUGCCACCACUCUGACAUUUGGGUCAUCUUUCUCAUUGCUGAUGUUUUCGUUGACGUUAUCUACGUCACCUUUGUCAAUUUCACAUUGGUAUGUUUGUUGUGAUUUUUUGUUCUUCUUGUUGGAACGGUUUAAUGCCCUGAAUGUUUUCUCAGGGUCUAAGAGUCCUUUUAGCAGUUCACCAGUCCUCAAAGAAUCUCUAGUCAUACAGCUGAAUCCCACAAGAGUUCAAAUGUGAGAAUUUCAAUGAAAACAAAUUGUUUAACACCGUAGAAAAUUGAUCUAAACUAAUAAUUCUAGCAGUACUUCUAAGUUGUAAUAAAUAACACAGUUAGUUCCACGACAAUGGCGUAAAUUUUUAUCACGCCCAACUAUACCUUACAAAAGAUAAAGUGAUUAUUGCAAAUAUAAUUCGAUUUUUUUAGCCUGGAGUCUAACCUCAGGGAACUAACCUAUCUAUUACAACUUUUGGUGAAUCUAUUAGCUCAAACGAUUCCAGGUGCAAGAUUUUUAUCAAUAAUGAUUGGAUUUUUGUUUAACUACUUCAAAAUGCUAUUGAAACUAACAAUGUGCUAAAUCAAAGAUAAUUCAACGGUAAAAAGGUCUAGGGUAUUGAUUUCCCCAAUUGCUAGUUUAAGUCUUAACUCUUUUGCUAUAAUCUUGCCGCAAUACUCUAUGAGGAUUAUGAGUUGUGGGUUAUCGCAAUUAUCUCUCGAUCAACUAUGAUAAUUUACUAGAACAUUCUCUCGAACUACUCUAGCUAAUAAUUUACGCAGCUCUGAAUUAUCCCAUCAAAGUAUCAUUAUCUCUAACCCCACUUUUAAUUUCAAGUAAUGAAUCUCUUCAAUUACAGAUUAUGAGCAACGGGUUAUCGCAAUCAUCUCUCGAUCAACUAUGAUAAUUUACUAGAGCAUUCUCUCGAACUUCUCUAGUUGAUAAUUUGUGCAGCUCUGAAUUAUCCCACCAAAGUUUCGUUAUCUCUAACCCCACUUUUAAGUUCAAGUAAUGAAUCUCUUCAAUUACCCAAAAGUGGUGUUGUUUAACAGCAGUCUAACCUAGUAUUCUUUCUCAAGCAACACAAGGCAAUUAGACACGGUUAAUCAAGCCCUUUCAACUAAUCACCAUACACAACAUAGUUGAACAAUCAUAUAAUAAACCCGGCUCGAUUAUAACAAAAUUGAGUCAAAACUUCAUCCAACAAUUGAUUCCAUCAACCCUAGAUUAACUAUUUAGCUACUCAUAGCUAAGCAAGAAAAAACUACAAAAAUGUCCAUGAUGAGCAAUUAAAAUAAUUAAGAGAAGAUAGAAAAACUCUAAUGUUUGAUAGCUCUUCUCACACUUUUUAUUGCCUCCAUAUUAGUCUAAAAACAAGCUUGAAACUUCCUUGGGCGAGCUUCUUGAGUUUGUAAGGGUUUGGAAUAAGUUUUCCCUGAUUUACACUUUGGUCCCAAAAGUUCUGGGCAGCUGCACAGUUCACCGCGGCAAAAUGCGGCAAAACGCGACGUGACUGCGGUGAGAGACAAUUAUUCUGCCUCGCUUCCUUAUCCCCAGUCAUCUUUUUUCUUCUUUCCACUCGGAUGCUUCUUUGUUGGCCUUUUUCCCCCACAUUAUUGACUCCAAAACAGUCUAUAGUUCUUUCUAUCUUGGAUUAGUCCCUGCGAAGCAAAAGAACACCAAUUAGAGCAUUUUGUUAUCAUUUAGCCUUUCAAACAACAAUAAUGUAUGGUACAUUUAGGGUGUAAGUAUCGUCUAUAAAGUACUACCAUCGUAUCGAGAGCAUCAAUGCAAUUGAGAAAAUAAAUGGUGGAGUAACAAGAUUGAAAGUAUUUUUUUAUGGACAUGGUAUGAACCCCAAUAGGGUCUUGACAAGAAUAUCCAAGGGAUCACCCAAUCGAUACAACUAAAGUAUCACCGCACAACUUUUGGGCUUGGGUAUGAAUACACAUGGUACGAGUAUCAGAAUUGGUCGCCAUCGUGACGUUAUCCUUAUUUCCCUAUUGAACCAAUACUGCACCUUUACCAGACAAUUUAACAAAUUGACAUGAUAUGGGGAUUUGAAGAGGAUGAAACUUUAGCUGGCCUAAGGAACCUAUUUCUAGAUUAUGAAAACACGGAUUGCAAUGCAAUAGUUAAGGAGGAGGAUGAUAAAGACCUUUCAAUGCAGACAGUAGGAAAAGGAGUUCUUCUCAAGAACUGGACUGCUGCACCAUCUCGGGCCCGUCGAGUUCCUAGGUAGCCUGGCAGUUAGCAUGAUCUAUUUUAAAAGCAACUUUAAGCAUUUAAGAAAUUUUCAGUAUUUUGUUUUGGACGUAUUUUGUUUUGAAAGAUGUGCUCGGGUCAUCGAGCCGUCAUUGUUUCAAGAUUUAUUUAAUGCAUUGCUAUUUUAGUAUUCAUUAUUAUCGUUUAAAUUUCUCUACAACAUGAUUAUUACUUAUCCUGCUAAACCAAAAGCUGUGACAUGUAAUGAGAUAACAAAACAUAAGGAUAGUGAUUAAAAGGAAAUAGAAAAAGAAAAAGAAGAUAUAGUACCCGAGGAAAUUGUCAGGGAGGUGGAAACUUUGAGAACAAGCUUAAGUCUAAUCUGAACAAAACUGAGAUAGUAAUUUAGGGAGAUUCUAAAGCAUUCAAAGAAACUCACAUAAGCAUUCACCUGUUACCAUAAGAGAAAGAAGAGUACACCCAUUUCCUGAAAGAGUACGAAGAUAUAUUUGCAUAGUUUUAUGAUGAUAUGACUGGUCUGAGCACAUGUGUAGUGGAUCAUAAACUACCUACCAAUUCAAUGGGCCUACCUGUAUAGCAAAAGCUCAGAAAGUUCAAGCCAGAUAUGAUUCUAAAAAUCAAAGAGGAAGUCACCAAACAGAUUAAAACUAAAGUUCUUAGAAUGGUCGAAUAUCCUACUUGGUUGGCUAACAUCGUGCUAGUUUAGAAGAAGGAUGGGAAGGUCAGAGUGUGCAUCGACUAUCGGGACUUAAACAAAGCAAGUCCCAAAGAUGAUUUCCCGUUACCCAACAUACACAUACUAAUCGACAAUUGUGCCAAGCAUGAACUCCAAUCCUUUGUGGAUUGCUUCACGAGAUACCAUCAAAUCUGGAUAGAUGAAUAAGAUGCCGAGAAGAUAGCCUUUAUUACUCCACGAGGACUGUGUUUCCAUAAAAUGAUGUUGUUUAGUCUGAAGAAUGCUUGGGCCACUUAUAUGAGAGCCAUGAAAACCAUUUUCCACGACAUGAUACACAAAGAGGUAGAAGUAUAUAUAGAUGAUGUUAUCAUCAAAUCCAAGAAGGGCACAGAUCAUAUAACGGAUUUGAGAAAGUUCUUUGUUUGGCUUCGAAGGUAUAAUCUGAAAUUGAAUCCCGCAAAUGUGCCUUUGGAGUUCCUAUUGGAAAGUUAUUAGGAUUCAUCGUUAGCCGCCGAGGAAUUGAGCUAAACCCGUCAAAUGUCAAGGAUAUCCAGGAUGUUCCACCACCAAAGAAUAAGAAAGAUGUGAUGAGCUUCUUGGGGCGUCACAAUUACAUCAACUGCUUCAUAGCACAAUUGACCAUGAUCUAUGAGCCGAUUUUCAAAAUGUUAAAGAAGGAUGACGCAACAAGUUGGACUGAAUACUGCCAGAAAGAUUUUGACAAAUUCAAGGAAUAUUUGUCCACACCAGCAAUCCUUGUCCCGCCAGUACCCAGGAGACAUUUUCUACUAUAUUUGUUUGUACUAGAUGGGGCUUUCGGUUGUGUCUUGGGACAACAUGACAAGAAGGGGAAAAAAGAGCAGGCCAUUUACUAUCUAAGUAAGAAGCACACCCUAUGAGGCAUGAUAUUCUUUGUCGGAACACACCGGUUGUGCCCUGACGUGGAUAGCUCAGAAAUUGAGGCACUACUUUUGUGCCUACACUACAUAUCUCAUAUCAAGAACAGAUCCUCUAAAAUACAUUUUCUAGAAACCCAUUCCUACAGGGAUGAUGGAAAAAUGGAAGAUACUGUUGAGUGAAUUUGAUAUUUUCUAUGUGACUCAAAAGGUGGUCAUGGACAAGCAUAAACAGAUCAUCUCGCAGAAAAUCCUGUAGGGGAGAAUACAAACCAUAGAAAAUAUAUUUUCCUGAUGAUGAAGUAUCAUUUGUAGGAGAAGAUAUCACUGAAACUCAUGAUGGUUGGAGAAUUUUUUUGAUAGAGCUACAAACUUCAAAGGAAUGGGUAUUAGAGCUAUCUUAGUAUCAGAAAUAGGUCAGCAUUAUCCGGUAUCUGCAAAACUCAAGUUUUCAUGCACUUAUAGUAUGGCAAAAUAGAGUCUUGCAUCUUGGGGCUCAAUUUGGCCAUUGUCAUGAAUAUCUAGGAAUUGUUGGUAAUUUGUGAUCCAAGCCUUCUAGUACAUCAGGUUCUAGAAGAGUGGAAUACAAAGAAUACCAAAAUACUACCGUAUAUGUAUCAUGUGCAAGAGUUGAUGAAACGAUUCACAAAGAUAGAAUUCAAACAUAUUCCGAGAAUUGAGAAUGAGUUUGCAGAUGCAUUGGCUACUUUAUCCUCCAUAAUGCAGCACUCGGAAAAGAAUUUCAUCGACCCUGUUCCAGUAAGAAUCCAUAAUCAGCCAACUUAUUGCGCUCAUGUUGUAGAAGAACCAUAUGGGAAUUUGUGGUUCCAUGAUAUCAAGGAAUACUUGGCAAAAGAAGAAUACGCAUAGCAUGCAAAAUCAUACUCAGAAACGCACAUUCCGAAGAUUAUCCAACUAUUUCUUCCAAAGUGGAGGAAUUUUGUACAGAAGGACUCCAGACCAUGGAUCAUUACGGUGUGUUGACGCCAAGGAAGCUUCCAAAAUGCUCGAAGAGAUACAUGUCUGAACUUGCGGACCACACAUGCACGGUUUCGUUUUGGCCAAGAAGAUAUUGAGGGCAUGAUAUUUUUGGAUGACUAUAGAAACAGACUGCAUCAUAUAUGUCCAAAAGUUUCACCAAUGUUAAAUACAAGCAGAUAUGAUGCGGGUACCACCAAAUGGACUCAUUGCAACAAGUGCACCUUGGCCUUUUGCCGCUUGGAAAAUGGAUGACAUUGGUCCGAUCGAGCCUUCCACUACGAGCGGGCACAAAGUUCAUUCUAUUACCCAUAGACUACUUCACAAAUGGGUUGAAGCUACAUCAUACAAGGCUGUAACUAUGAAAGUCAUCACAUAUUUUGUUAGAGAUUGUAUUGUUUGCCGAUUCGGGGUGCCAAAAUCCAUCAUCACAGACAACGCUGCCAACCUCAACAGUAACUUAAUAAAAGCUAUGUGUGAAACCUUCAAACUCAAGCAUAUAAAUUCCACAUCAUACAUACCUCAAAUAAAUGAAGCCGUGGAGGCCGCAACAAGAAUCUUAAGAAAAUAUUGAGAAAGAUGGUAGAUAAUCACAAGCAAUGGCACGAGAAAUUACCAUUUGCCUUAUUGGGAUAUCGUACCACAAUUCGCAGAUCAACUGGAGCAACUCCCUACAUGUUGGUCUACGGCAUUGAAGCAGUCAUUCCUGCCGAGGUGAAGUUCCUUCCUUAAGAAUUAUUUAAGAAGCUGGACUCAAUUAUGCAGAAUAGAUAAUAAGUAGCUACGAACAAUAGCUCUUAUUGACGGGAAAAGAAUGAAUGUGGUAUGCCACAAUCUACUUUAUCAAAAUAGAAUGUCCAGAGCUUUAAACAAAAGUGUCAGACCUAGACAGUUCACACCGGGGCAGCUGGUGCUGGAGCGGAUCUUCCCGAUCAAGAUGAAGCCAAAGGGAAAUUUUCACCUAAUUGUAAAGGGCCCUAUAUGGUUCACAAAGUACUGACAGGAGGAUCACUCAUACUCGCAGAAAUGGACAGAGAAAUUUGGCUAAAGCUUAUCAAUUCAAACACAAUCAAGAGAUACUAUGUUUAGAUUGUUUGCCUUUCUUCAUCUGAUAUAACUGAACUACACUUGACCUGAUUCCCAUAUAAGAGGAAAUACAUAGGCAGCCUUGUAGGUUCAGUCACAUCUUAAUAAAAUCUUCAUUUUUCCCAUGGUCAGAAACUGGGGCAGAAUUUUGAGAAUUGCCCUCAAAAUUUAAUAGCAAGUCCUGCCAAUUCAUCAUAUGUGGAAUUUUGAGGAGGACCCUCAAAAUUCUAAUGCAAAGAAGUUGCUAUAUCUCUAAAUGUCACAGAAGUUGGUUCAUCUAAUUUGCCUGAUAUUUCAUACUACUAUGUUUUUUAAAUAACUAUAUUCAUCAAAUACAUGCAUAUUUGUCGAAAACUUUAUUUCUAUGACAGCCAGAUAUUACCCCAGGUGACUCAAACAGAAUCUCAAGACAGGAGCAUGGGAAAGCAGAACACGAAGGCACAAAUCAACCUUUCCCGUAAAACUUAAUACUUUGUUUUGGAUGCGGGAACAAAGAAUAUUCACAAAUAUGUACAUAUAUUAAAAUCGUAACGACAAGUCGUCAAAUGUAAACAUGUAUCCAGAUAAUACUCUGCUACCACUCAUUGCCUUUUCUUUGCAUGAGGGAAAGCAUUUCCUCCGUAUUUGCAUAAGUCUAAGCAUUAUCUUCCAUUACAUGAGACUAAUUGUCUCCUUUCCAUUGCAUGAGACUAAGCAUUGUCUCCUCUCUUUGCAUGAGUCUAAGCAUUGCCUCCCUAAUUGCAUAAAUCUAAGAACUACCUUCCAUUGCAUGAGACUAAGCUAUGUUUCCUUUCCUUUGCACGAGGCUAAACAUUGUCUCAUAUCCUUGUAUGAGGCUAAGCAUUGUCUCCCUAAUUUCAUAAGGCUAAGAACUUCCUUCCAUUCAUGAGACUAAUUUAUUUCUCAUUUCCCUUGCAUGUGACUAAGAAUUUUCUCAUGUCCUUGCAUAAGGCUAAGCAUUGCUUAUCUAAUGGAAUAAGGCUAAGUACCGUCUUCCAUUACAUGAGACUAAGUCCUGUCUCCUUUCCCUUGCAUGAGACUAAACAUUGUAUCCUCUCCUUGCAUGAGGCUAAGCAUUGCCUCCCUGAUUGUAUAGGGCUAAGCACUGCCUUUCUUUGCAUCGAGACUAAGCAUUGUCUCCUCUUCUUGAAUAAGGCUAAGCUUAUUUCCUUUCAUGAGACUAAGCACUAUCUCCUAAUUGCAUGACACUAAGUACUGUCUCCCUUUCUCGCAUGAGGAUAACCCCUGCCUCCUCAACUACAUAAGGCUAAGUUAUGCUUUUCUUUACCUAAUACCAAAUGCUAUGUUACUUGAAAUCUAGCACUAUUUUGCCUUCCCAAGGCUAAGCUCUGUCUUGAUCAUAUGCAAGUCUAAGCUCUGUCUUGUUUUGCUUCUUAUAUACCCAGCAUCAUGUCAUUGCAUUUCAUGGGUUGAAACAUCACUAUUUUUAUCCAAAGGUGUCAUAUCCGAAGCAUCAUCCUCAUAGCUGGAAGAUACCAUGCCAUGUCAUGAGGAUCUCUCAAUAUUGCACAUCAUUAUUCAAAGGCAUCAUGGUUCAGAGGCACCAUUCUCAUGUCCUGAGAACAUCAUUUUAUAGUAUGCGAAUCCCUUAUCUAUGAUUCAUGGCCUGGGACGUCAUGGUCUAAAGACAUUACCCUCGCCGUUGUUUUGACCGCGGGAAGGUGAACUUUGCAAAGCACAAAUUUCCAAUCAAAGACAAUCCCCAUGGUCCAAAGGGAAUUUGCAUCAUGUUUAAAUUCUAGAAAUAAUCCAUACAUAUUUGCAUGCAUCGUGUUUUAUGUUUUGUAGGUAAUCCAGGAAGUAACCGUUCUUCAAAUGGGAGCAAUCUUCUCUCCGGUUUCUGUUCAUAACAAUCACAUUUUGCAAAUGUUUUAAUCGUAACUGACCAUCAUCAAUUCCCGCUUCUUACUCUAUGGGUAUUCAUAUACUUGCUCUAUAGCACAUCCGUUAUGUUUCAGAUUCACAUUCAUAACUCCGCAUAAAUCCGUCCGAUAAUAUCCUUCCCAAAACAACAUUUUUUUUUAAACAUACCAUUCCUAUAAUAGCUCAAUCGCUUUCGUUCAGCCUUGGAUCCAGAACUAUGCACAACUUGAUUCACGUAAUAUCAGGGAUAUAUAGGAAACUUAGGAACUAGGGUUUGGCCCCAUUGUUAAUCACAUCAUUCCUCGUUCAAUUCAGCCAAAAUUGAUCAUCAUUUUAUUUACUUGGCAAUUCUUCCAUCACUCCCGGGUAAAGAGGGGCAGCUGUUGAUACCCAAUAUUUCCUUCAUAUUUUUAAUUGUAUAUAUAUACUUUCAAAAUGGUACAUUGCAUCAUCAUUUAGCUUAUAAGCAUAUACAAUCAUUUUUCAUUAUUUUAAAAGGCUUUAAAUCGAUUUAUUUUAUAUUUUAUUAUAUAAAUACUCAAUUAUUGUCCUUGAAACUAUUUUAUGAUGAUUUAAUCAUCUAAACUUGUCAUUUUCACCUACACGAAUGUAUUAAAAUAUUUUACUACAUUUUCUAUAAUGAUAUUUGCAUUUUAGCGCUUAUUGCACAUUUUUGCAAUAAUAGUCAUAUAUAAUUACACUAUUUAUGCAAAAAAAUAAUUUUUUAUAUUUUAAUAAUAUUGAGUUAUUAUUUUCAACCAUUUUAGUGCACAAAUAAUAUUCUUUUAUUUGCUAAUUACUUUUAUUAAUUAUUUGUUGAUAAAUUAUUGGGUAUUUAAAAACUAGCAUAAAUUCUACCUAUUUUCAGAUCAAACAAUGGCCCAAAAUACCUAAUACCUAGCCCAAUUACCCCGACCCAAAGCCAAAUGACCCAUGAUAAAUACUCGUCUGUGAGUCGCUUUUAAAUAACCUGCCCCAUUUAAUUUUUUAUCCCAGCCGUUGAUCUCUCAAGAUCAACGGUCACCGUCCCUUUUCUCAUUUUUAAUUAACCUAACCUCAGAAACCCUAUCCCAUUCCAUAGAGAACCGCUGCCCUUGAACUCUUUCAACCUCCCCUUCUUUCUGCGUUAAACCCUAUCUACCGUAACCUUUAAUCCUCUCCGAUUUUGGCUUAAUAAUAAAAUCAAUCAUUGAUUCACUUACCUUAUUGAUCUUUACUCACUACUGGUUAUUUAUUUGUGGUGUUACCUAGCUGCUUGCCUAAACAUGACAAGCAAAUCUCAUCAAAAUUGAACCAAAAUCGGAUCAAAUCCUUGAUCUUUCCGCUAUUCCAUCUAUAUUCAUCCUUUGUUAUAUUAUGGGUACGAAUCUUGUGUAUUUUCUGUUGGUUAUUACUUACCCUAAAACUAGGUUUCUCAUAUUGCUUUAGAUCGAACAAAAAUUGGUUCGAUUCCCUGAUUUUAAGUGUCAUUAUGUAUAUAUUCGUCCUUAGUUUACUAUUUUCGUGUAUCUUCUGGUAAUAUUUGCUUCCCCUAAAAAAUUUGGUCUUUACCUAUUUUUCCCUAAAUCCAGUUUUUAUUAAUUUGCAUGUUAUUUUUUCCUUAUUUAUGUUUGAUUAUAAAGUGUUUCCUUUUUUACUUGUUUAAUUUGUACUACUAUAUAAACACCUUCCCAUCCCCCUUUAAGACACAUUUAAAUUGCUAUAAUCUUACUAAAAUUUAAAACUCUAUUAUGUUAUUCCUUAAUGAUCUCAUUCUAUACUUUGGUUCUUGGCCAGCUGAAAGUAAAGGCCACCAAAAUUCUGGGUUCUUGUUCUUCGUUGAUAAUCAAAAUACUGUGCAUUUCUGUUCUUUCUUGUUUUUCACUUAACUGGUGAGUUACUGGACUUCCUAGUUUCAUUCCUCUUUAUCUGUAAUUUGCAUAUGUUUUCACGCCUGGAGUUUUGCAUAAUGUGUUCUUUUGGUCUGUUUUGUGGGCAAUUCUGUUUGUUCUACUUCAAUUUUUUAGCUCUCUUUAACUUUUAACCGCACAUUGAUAGUUUAAAGCAUGCUUAAACCCGAUUUGAGUAAAUUAGGUCCAUUUCAAGCUUAUCUACCCUAUGUGUUGCAACCUAUUAAUGUUUAGGAGCUUUGCAUCUCUUUGUUGUUUAACUUUGCUAUCAAUCUUGGUACUUAAACAUGCAUUAGUUACAUGAUUCGUAUCCCUUUUAAUGGACUAGUUGAUUGUGUUCAAAAGCAUGAACGUGUAUACUAACUAUAUAGCAUAAUUAUGUCUCAUGUCCUAUUCUGAAUUCGCUAUGACGAUAUCCUGCCUAUGUAGCAUGUUUGAUCCUAUUCCUCAUUAUAAUGCAUCUAAAAUGUCUUGACUUCCUAAUAGUUGCAAUGAUCUCUUCUCAGCCUAUAUAAAUUCUGUUCCCAAUUAAAACGAUUCUUUCUUGUAAAACUAGAACCUAUACUUAGUAUAAUUUGAACCUUUUAUUUACUAUGAAUAUGUGUAUACCAAUCUUGCAAACCUGUUUUGUUAAUGUGUGACUAACUUAUGCAUUCUUCUGAAUCUUUGCUAAGACUGUUCUUAAAACCUAAAGCAUGUUCGAUUAUCUACUCUAUGUGCUCAACUUCGCUAUGCUUGUAUCCUUCAAUAUUGUCCCUCAACCUUAGUUUACUCUGUUUCACUUGUUACCUGAGCUCUUUCGAGUUCUCAUUCUUAGCCAGCGGAAAGCGAAGGCUACCUAGGUUGUAUCAUUGACCUCCCUAGUAUGAGCACUAUUCGGGGUCUAAUUGAGACCCUUGUGAACUGUAACACACUAGGACUUGAUCCUUAGUCAUUCCUUGAAUCUCCUCCAUUAACCUCCCUAGUGUGAGCAUUGCUUGGGGUCCAUUUUGAGACCCUUGUAAACUCUGACACAAUAGGGUCUAAGGUUCCUUGGCACUUUGUCCUAAAUGCACCAUCCUACCCCUUUUCAACCUACUGAAUGAGCUAGUGGGCUAGUGUACAUGGCAAGUUUCCCAAAUCUUUGAUGGCUACUGGUUUUUGGCUAUGAAGAUUAUUUUCUAGGCUAUUGUGAAACUAUGUGCACUUGAGAUUGAAGUCCUAGCAUGGAUGGUUAUUCUUUGGGCUUGCCUAAGGUCCACUAUAGCUAUUUUGUAAUUGUUUUCACUCAUUGGGUAUGUAAUAAUGUUAUAAUAACAAUUGGUGUGUUAAUAACAUUAUGAAAAUGGGUUUAUUUUUAAUAUUUGCAUGAAACAGGUAGAAAUCCUGCCUAUAGGCGUUUAAUUUGCUUGAAUAUGUUCUGCUACUGUGUGUGUUAGAUAACCUGCCAAUAGGUGUUUAAUUCGUUUAAAAUAUUCUACUUCUACAUAUUUGUUAGAUAUCAUGCCUAUUGGAAAUAAGAUGACCAAUCUUUCAAUUGUAGCAUGUUCACUAGAUCAUAGGAUUAUAUUAGUUUAUGUUCUACAAAUCUGCAUUUUAUAAAUCAUGCCUAAAGGGUAUUAAUUGGUUAACGUGUUGUUAUAAUUACUCAUUUAAGAGACAUGCCUAUAAGAGCUAAAACCAGUUUUAAUCGCUAGUUGUAGAAAUCCUACCUAUAGGAUAAUCAUACUUGCUUUUAAGUGUUAAUAUUGAACUUUCAACACUGUUUCGUUACCACUAUUAGAAUGCAUGACUAUAGGAUCAAAUUGAGUAAUUCUGAAGAUCUUCCAUGGUUAUCGUUGCCAACUACUACACCUAGAUAUCAUGUCUAUAGGUUUAAACACAUACAAUCUAUAUUUUUAGUAAUCAAUACGCAAUACCAGAUUUCCUAAAAUAUAUAGUUAUUCUGAAAGCAUGCCUCUAAAAUAGCACCUUGCAUCUGAAACUGCCCGCAUAUUCGAAUUCCAAGGUCAUGUAUCAUGUCUACAGGGCUUGAUGAGUAACUCGUCUCAAUUCUGAACUGUCAAACUUCUAAUUUGUUUGCGUGCAUUUUUUGUCUUAGUGUGGAGGCUAACUUGAUCCUUUAAUUGCUUUUACAUGAAGUCUGACUUGUUUUGUAUGUCGCCUAGUUUUUUCAUUUUAAGCAGCCUAAGUUAAGUCUAGAACCACCCAAAAUAGAGGUCCAAAUACCCCCGGGACCAAAGGCAUGGGAUGGGUAGUUCAUGUAUAAGGUGCGGCUUAAAAUCAAUUAGUGUGCCCUAGGUAACAACUUAAAGAUAGUAACCGGAUAGCAAGAAUUAUAGUAUGUGCCUGCUAAAUAAUACGAGUAACGCCCCGUCUUGAGGGAGCUAGGAAGUAUUAUUUAUGUUGCACGGGAUGAUCGUUUAGGAUAAAAAACAUAGGACCCCCUCCCAUCUUGUCUUAAAAUCAAUUAUUUUGUUUAUUGGUAGAUUUUUUAUAAUAAUUGGCCAACUCUUAUUUUUCCCUCUUGUUUUAGACUAAUUCAUAUAAUUCGAGUUUGGUCGGGACCCACAAUUGUGGACCUCGAGGAGUACCUAACACCUUCUAUUUGAGUUCAUUUGAGCACUUACCCCAUCUUUGGUGACCCAAACUUGUUAAAUUAGAGUUAUUUGCGAAUAGGUGCCCUAACACACCUCAAACCCUUUAGGUGGCAACUCCUCUCUUUUAACACCUUCCUUAAAAGAGUUGGCACGUGCCGAAAUCUGAUUUCGCGAGAAAAAGAGGCGCGACACCUGUGUAUAUUCCAACAGAAGAACAAGCAGUAGAUUUGUUGACUAAAGGACUUGGAAGUGUUCAACAUCGCCAUUUGAUCUGCAAGCUAGGUGUUUUGAACAUCUUCAUGGCACCUAGCUUGAAGGGGGUAUUGAGAUGGUUAAAGUGACAGCUGGUGACAGUUGUAUAGAUAAAGGCUUGAAGGAUGACAAAAUUAGUUAGCUAAAAGCUGUGUAUAGUAGCAAAUUAGUUAAUUAGUUAGUGUUAGAAGUUAAUUAUCUAUACACACCACAUGUAUAGUGCUACUGAUAAUAAGCCAUUGUAUUUCUAUGUAAUUGAAGAUUGUUUCCUGAAUCUUCUUCUUCUUCUUUCUUCUUCGGUUCAGUCUCAGCUUCAAUCUUCCAUCCUUUAAUGGUGGAUUUAUCAAUUUUGUUAGAACAAUCUAACAGUCAAGAGGUUACAAUUCAAAUUGAAUGUCAUAGUUUGAUUCUAAAGGCUCACGUAUUUGGAUGUAUGCAGCGUAUAAUCUACAAUUUGUGAAUAUGGUGGAUUCAAAUUUGACAAAUUUUACUUUCAAUACCAUCUUGGACUACAUAAGAUCAUUUUAUCCAAUCUAAGAUUUGUUUUAUUAUCAUAUGUUUAGCAUAACUUAUUUUGUGUUUUCACUAGUUAUCAUGACUAAUUAGAAAUUACAUUUACCAUAAAUUAUCAGUUCUAAACAUCUCAAAUAAAGAACGAAUAGAAAAGUUAAAACGAAGACACUAAGAUAUGAUAUUAACGAAUAAUAAAUCUUGUCUUCCUCGUUUUAACACUUGGGGCAAGUUACACACUUAACAUGCUUGUGUUAGGAUCGAAUGUUAGAUAGUUUUAGGGUUGAAAUAAUUAGGUGACAUACGGAAGCUAACAAAUCAAAUUUCGAAUGACGAUAAAUCAGAAAAUAAAAGAGAAAUAUAUCAAAAGAAAUAUAAAUAUUUAACAUGGUUCAAUCAAUUGGCCUACAUUCACAAACAGAGAUGAACAAUCCACUAUAUUAAGAGCUACAAAAUAUCGAAAGAACAACCUCACAAAGAGGCACGCACAAGUAGCAAGCUAACACUUGUUUCACAAAUUCUCUCCCCAAACAAAACUCUCAAAUGCCUUAAGGCUACAUUUGUGGAUGCUACGGAAUAAGAAGGAAGGAUCCUUAAUUUAUAGAAGUCAAAAUAUUUUUCUCUAAAAAAAGACUAGUCAAAUAUAAAAUAUUAUAUUUUUAUUUUCGUAAAAAGAAAAAAAUAAUUAGAAUAAAUAUAUUGUUCUUCCUUCAAGAUUAAGCUGGGUGGAUCUUUUCAAAAUCAUUAUUUUUAUGUUGACCCGUUAAAUUUUUCUUGAGAAAAUUCUAAGGACCGUCAGAAUCUUCCGCCGAUAUGCUAAAAAAAUAUUGCGUGAUUUGUCAACUACAUAAUUGCUGAAAUUCUGCCUAGUGCGGCAAUCAAGGAAAAUCCUGCCCAACGUGUUUUAAAGUUCUAUUAUGGGGCUUUUUUCUCAAAAAUUCUGUUAUUGAGGUCAAAAAAUCAAUAUUGACCAAAAAGUAUCCUACUUUUGUCAUUCUCCCGAAUAUAAAGUUGGUUGGUCCAAGUGAAGGUUAGUUUUGAAGAUUGAUAAAGGAAGCGCAGGUAUGGAUCAUGUCCAUCACUUGGGUGCAUCAAAACGGACAAAUUCGAACAUGUGGGAUGCAUGUCAAUGAGAUAAGAUUAACUUGAUAUAUCUCUUAAUAAAAAAGGUUGCAUACUUGAUAAGGAGAAGGACUUCAUAUUCAAAGAGAAUAUUAUCCAAUAUAGGAAAGGAGUUAGAAGUUGAGAUCAACUAGAACUCUUCCACCAAGGAAGAGUAGCAUUAGAUCUCUAGCUGUUUUUUAUUCUACUGACUCUAUAAAUCGUAGAAUGUUCCAUUUUACAGGCAUGCACAUAUGCAGAAGUUUAACAGGAAUUGAGAGCAAAAUAGCAAGACAUUUUGCAAGCAGUUCGUGUAAUUCAAGUGUGCAAAGCUGAAGCUACAUGGAGCAGAUAGAGGAACCAGUUCCAAUUGUCUAUCUUUUAUUCUAGUUCAAUUGUCGUAUGUAAUUGUUUGCAACAACGGGAUUAGAGUUAAUCCUAGGUUUACAAAAUUAUUUUGUAAAUGUAGUUUUUGGUUCAUUGUUUUACUGGAGAAUUUGGAAAAAUCCUACUGGGAAGUAGGUCGCAAUUUUUUUUAUCUAUUGAGCCAAGUAUUUUUUACGUAAAAUACUUGUGUUCUUUACUUUCUGCAUUUACUAUUCCACAACAGUAGUAUAAGGAACACAUAGAAGAAUUUAGUCCUUCUAUAAUAUGUGCACGGGAAAAAUUAGACACUGCACAAAUCACCUCAUCUUGUGUGGUAUUUAAGUAUAAAAUAUUAUUUGAUAACAGAGCAGGUUAUCCUUGAAGAGGCUAACACCUUCGGAAAAGAUCAAGAUAAGUGCACCACCUGAAAAUUGGGAAGAACAAUCCACUGCUAGGGCACCGCUCUUGAAUGGAAAAUACUAUUUAUGGUGGGAAAACAGAAUGAGAUACCACAUCAUAAAAAGACUAUGAGCUAUGAGAUAUUUUUACUAAUGGUCCCCUGGCUACCAAGAAGAAAAAUGCUGAAGGAGUAGAUGUGCCAAAAACAAGAGCUGACUACACUGUUGAAAAUUUGAGGAAAUUGGAAAGAAAGCCAAUGCCAAGAAAUGGCUUGUGCAUGGACUUGGACCAGACAAGUACAACAUAAUUCAAAGUUGCAAUACUACUAAGAAAAUUUGGGACACUCUACAAGUGGCUCAUGAAGGAAUACAUCAUGUGAAGAGGUCUAGAGGAACUUUACUAUAUUCUCAAUAUGAGAAUUUUACUAUGAAGGAAGGAGAAACCAUACAAGAGAUGUAUACAAGGUUCACCACACUAACAAAUGAACUUAAGGCUCUUGGAAGGGUUAUUCUUGAAGAAGACAAAGUUGAGAAAUUUUGAAAAGGGUUAUGCCAGUCUCUUGGGAGAGCAACAUCACUGCCAUUCUGGAAUAAAAGAACAUAUCCACUCUUAAGUUGGACGAGCUAAUUGGAAAUCUCAUUUCUUAUGAACUUAGAAGGCAAACCAUGAAGAUGGAUGCACCCAAAAAGGAAAGGAGCAUGGCACUCCGAAUCACUGAAGGUGCCGAUCUAGAAGAGGAUGAAAUGACUAUGAUCACAAACAACUUCAAGAAGUACCUAAUGAGAGGAAAAGGUUCAUUAAGAGGUGGAAACUACAGCAAACCAAUGAUUCCUGAAAAACAGACCAAUGAGGGAUGCUACAAGUGUGGGAAGACUGAUCACCAUAUCAAAAAUUGUCCUUAAUGGGAAAUUGAAGGGAAGAAGAAAAGAGAUGAGCGAAGAAACAGAACGAAGGAAUAGGUUCAUCCCAAGAAGAACAAAGGAUCAAUAAAGUCUAUGGUUUUUUCUUGGGGCGAAAGCUCAGAUGAGGACUCAGAUAAUGAAGAUAGAGAUGAACAAGCACUUAUAGAAAUUCGAGAAUCUGAUGAGGAAUCCGAUGUAAGUAUAAUCCAUCUCAAAGACAAGAUUAAGUUUUUGUCUAAUGAAAAUCUAUCUAAGUUACUUUUAGAUUUCAUUGAUGAAUCCAAGGAUAUAAACAAUAAAAAGGAACAGUUGUCUAAGAAAUGUAUGAUUUUAAAAGCUAAGUGUAAGAACCUGGAACUUAGAGUUAGUGAGACUGUAAGUGAAAAUACUGCACUAAAGAACCGGGUUCAUGAAUUUGGAUAAAAUUUCCUAGAACAUAGAUCUAAAAACCUAAAACUAAAAUUAGGAACAAGUAAGACGAUAGCUGAUUGCACACAACUCACUCUAGAAUAAAAUGUAGGUAAACUAAAAGAUGAAUUGUAUAAGAAGGAUAAGCAUAAGAAUUUUGACAGAGGAUCUAGGCAAAGUUAAGCACGAGCUUGACAGAACCUGUAAAUAGAAUAGGUCCUCCGAUGCACUUUCAUGGCUACAUGAACACCAUAGUAGCAACAAGAGAGGACUUGGCUAUGGGAACUCUGCACCUAAGUGGGAUCCCAAAAGCAAGUAUCUAACACUUCUGAAAACAAAAUUUGGACACACUGUGGUAAAAUUGGUCACUACAAAAGUGAAUCCAGUCAAAAGAAUAAAAUAUUUGUUCAAGGGGAAAAUAGACUGCUAGGUCGGGCCAAAAUGAAUCUGAUUCACCCUUGUGCCUAUAGAAAGGGACCCAAACUAGUUUGGGUUCCUAAGACUAACCCCUGAUUUCCUUUUGCUGGUCCAAGUGAAGGGGAGUAACCAAAUAUGGUAUAUGGAGAGUGGCUGCUCAAAGCACGUGACAAGAAGCAAGAAUCAAUUCCUUCACUUGAGGACCUCAAAUAAUGUCUCCUUUGGAAAUGGAAAGAAAUAUGAGAUAAUUAGGGUUGGAAAGGUAGGUAAGAUAAAUUCUCACUCUAUUGAGAAUGCCUACUUGAUAGAUGACUUAAUAUACAAUCUAUCAGUGUAUCACAACUGUGUGAUGUUGGUAUCUUGGUAGCAUUCACCUCUACCAAAUAUUUUGUGAUAAAUCUUACCACUAACAAGAUUGUUUUGUAGGGAAAAAGGUAAACAAUAUUUAAAUUGUAGAUCUGUCCAUACUCUCAGAAAAUGAAGUCACUUACUUAAGUAUACUGGACAAUGAUCCCCUACUUUGGCAUAAGAGACUUGGACAUGCAAGUCUGAGUCAACUCAACAAAUUAGUCUUCAAGGACCUGGUGACAGAGCUUCCUAACAUCAAGUUUAAGAAAGACAAAUUUUGUGAGGCUUGUGCAAGGAGGAAGCUGUAAGAUCCUCUUUUAAAUGCAAGAAAGUGGUAAGCACCACCAGAACGAUGGAACUGGUCCAUAUGGAUCUUUGUGGUCCAUUGAGAACAUUAAGCAGAUGUGGUAAAAGAAAAGUGAUUGUGCUUGUUGAUGACUACUCUAGGUUUACCUGGGCAUUAUUUUUAACAUCUAAAGAUGAAGCAUUUGACAUGUUUACUUAUUUUGUUAGAAAAACUUAGAGACAACUAGGUAAUCAACUUGCAUCAACUAGUUCUGAUCAUAGAACUGAAUUUGAAAAUGCUAAGUUUUUUGAAUUUAGUGAUGUGCAUGGCAUAUAUCAUAAUUUUUCUGUUCCUAGGACUCCACAACAAAAUGGAGUAGUUGAAAGAAGGAAUAAGACACUUGAAGAUAUGGCUAAGACUAUGCUUCAUUCUAGUAAACAACCCCAAAGCUUCUGGGCGGAAGCUAUAAAUACUGCAUUCUACAUCAUCAAUAGGUGCAUGACUAGACCUCUUGUAGAGAAGACCCCCUACGAGUUACUUAAAGGGAGAAAACCAAAUAUAUCCUAUAUUAGGGCAUUUGGAUGCAAGUGCUUUGUGUACAACAAUGGUAAAAACUCCCUAGGUAAGUUUGAUCCCAUAAGUUAUGAGGGAGUAUUCUUCACAUAGUAAAGCUUCUAAGGUAUAUAACAAAAGAACUAUGUGUGUAGAAGAAAGUAUACGUAUGAGUUUUGAUGAAACUAAUAUUAUUUUUUACAGACAGGAAAAUGAAGACGAAGCAAUUGGGUUGGUAAGAAAUUUAAAUUAAAUCACAGCCUAGGUUGAAGUUACACCAUAAGAAGGAACAGGUGAUGAAACAUGUUCUUCUAUUCAGGGCAACCCGACAUGGGGAACUAAACAAAUAGGAACUGAAUCUCAUACCUUGAUGAAACCUGUCCAUGAACAUGUUUCUCAACAACAAAACACUGAAGAAACAUCAAGAGGAAACCAUUUGGUUGUGAAACCUUACAAGUACCAAAGUCCUCAUCCCAUUGAGAACAUAAUUACUCAUCCAACCUCUGGAUUAAAACCGGAUCUUCAUUAAAGAAUCGUUGUGCUUUUGAUGCUUUCUUAUCUAUUAUUGAACUUAAAAAUGUUGGCGAGGCUUUGCAGGAUGCAUACUGGAUAAAUGCAAUGCAAGAUCAACUCAACCAGUUUGAAAGGAGUCAAGUUUGGCAUAUGGUACCAAGACCCAAUGAUAGAUUAGUAAUUGGCACAAAAUGGGUCUUUAGAAACAAACUUAAUAAAGAUGGAACAGUUAUAAUGAACAAGGCAAGAUUGGUGUUCAUGGAUAUUACCAAGAUGUGGCCAUAGACUAUGAUGAGACCUUUGAUCCAAUUGCAAGAUUGGAAGCAAAGACUCCUCAUAGUCUUUGCUGCUUACAUGGAAUUGACUCUUCACGAUAUGGACGUCAAGAGUGCCUUCCUUAAUGGUUGUUUAAAGGAAGAAGUGUUUGUCAACCUCCAGGGUUUGAAAGCAAGGAGUUUCCUGAUCAUGUAUACAAACUUUACAAGGAACUCUAUGGGUUCAAGUUGGCUCCUAGAGCAUGGUAUGAAAGAUUAUUGAAAUUCCUGGUUGAGCGUGGCUACAAGUGAGGUAAUAUUAAUAACACUUUAUUCUUGAAGGAAAAAGAUAAAAACCUUCUAGUAGUGCAGAUAUAUGUUGAUGAUAUAAUCUUUGGAGAAACUACUAAUAAUCUAAGUAAGGAAUGGCUAAGCAAAUAGGGAGUGAAUUUGAAAUGAGUAUGAUGGGUGAGCUUAAUUUCUUUUUAGGCUUACAAAUUAAACAAAUCUCAAAUGGAGCUAUGGUCCAUUAGCAAAAAUAUGUGAAAGAGUUGCAUAAAAGGUUUAAAAUGGAAGAAUCAAAAGAAAUCGAUACUCCUAUAGCAAUAACCAAAAAUUGGAUAUAUAUGAACCCGGUUCAUCUGUUGAUUAAAAGUUGUAUAGGGGACUGAUUGGUUCUCUUUUAUAGCUCACUACUAGUAGACCUAACAUUGUUUUCAGUGUAGUUCUUUUUGCUCGAUUUAAGGCAAAUCCAAAGGAGUCUCACUUGACUGCUGUCAAGAGAAUAUUGAGAUACUUGAAAAGCACCACUGACCUUUAUAUUUGGUAUCCAAAAGGUAGUAAUUUUAACCUCUGAGAUAUGAUGACGCUGAUUAUGCAAGUUUUCUUGUGGAUAGGAAGAGCACCUCCGGUAUGGCACACUUUCUUGAUUCAUGUCUUGUGUCAUGGGCUAACAAAAAGCAAAAUUCAAUUGCCUUGUCUACUGUUGAAGCUGAGUAUGUUGUUGCCGCUUUAUGUUAUGCUCAAUUGUUGUAGAUCAAACAACAACUAUUGGUCUUUGGAAUUGAUGUUGGUUUCAUUCCCAUAUUUUAUGAUAAUACUAGUGCCAUUAGUAUGAAAAAUAACCCACUUCAUCAUAAGAGAACUAAGCCCAUGGAUGUUAGGCACCAUUUUUUAGGGACAAACUAUGAGAAAGGCUUGAUCACUGAGGAGUUUUGUGCUACUGACAAGCAAAUUGCUGACAUCUUCACAAAAGCUUUAAGUAGAGAUCACUUUGAAAGUAACAUGUUGGAAUUAUGUAUGAUAAAGAUCACCUAAAAGGUCCAGUUCAAGAUUAAACGAAAAAAAUAAAAAAAUUUGGUUAGAAAAUAUGUAAAACCCUAUACUUAAGUAGAUUAGAUUUUGCUCAAUCUCAUACUUUCAAUAGUAUACUCUUGUGCCAUAUGUUAACAUGACUCAUUAAUCUCUAAUGAUAUUUUCUCUAUUUUGGAAAUUUUGGACUUACACAAGAGAAUUAUCAGAGAAGACCCUGGUUCAUCAAGAUAACACGGUAUAUUUUCUACACUCUGUAUAAUAUGAAAUAAUAAUAUUUGAAUCCUGAGAAGGGUCCUACCUACGUCCAAAUUUCUCUUAAACUUAUCUAAUUAAUUUGAACCAGUUCCAUUUAAAAGAAUCCUAACCAAAUUAAAUCACCUAAAUUCUAGGGAAGACUCCACCGUCUAUUCAAAACUGACAUUUUAGCUCGAUUAGACUUCUAAAAGACCAAUGAGCCUACCAUUAGCCAUUAAUUACCCACUCUCUUUAAAUUGAUCAUCAUCAUCUCUGCCUUAUCUUCAUAAUUCUCAAACCAUCGUAAACAUUUUCCAUCUUCUCUUAUCCUCCAAAUUUCACUCUACCUUUCUUCUUUCUUCCAAGAACCAAGCACAAAAUGACUCACCCCUAUGAUAACCGUGGUACUCCCCCACCAUGCUCCUCAUCUUUAACCACUCCUCAUCCUAAGAAAAAAAGUAAAUAUUCUUGCACACAAGAAAGUAACUAGGAGGGAAUUAUCAUAGAAAUUAGAUGCUUAAUUGAAAGCUAGCCAAGCCCAAUAACCCUAGAUCUCUGAAGAAUCCAUCAAGUCUGCUACUGGGGGGAAGAAACUGGGUCUUCUGAUACUGAACAGGUAAACUUCUGAUCCAAAUACUACCACUGAGGUCAUUUUUUAAUGGGCUGAUAAUCUAGAGAAAAUAUUAAUUUUGGUUGGAUCUUUGGUGGAUGUAAAAACUUUCGAGUCCAGAAAGAGGGGUGGUAAAAAUAAAAAGGAAAAAUAAAAAGAGAGUGGGGGUGUUCGAAGUGAAGGAAGGGGAAUGGGAAAAAGAGUGGUUGAUUCUUCACCCACUUCUGAUAAAGGUAGAAUGGCUAUUUGUGGAACAGAAUCAGAUAAAGUGGAGGAAAGUGUGGGAAGUGGAUCUGGUGAAGCCGCUGAAGGGCUGGUUAACCUUGGGAAAAAAGUAGAUGAACAUGGUUCACCGAUUGGACAAACCCUCACAGACCUAUUGAAGAAAGUAGGUGACAGCUACAACCUCAAGAAGAAGAGAACUUCCUAGACCCCUUGCACUGCUAGGGAUAACAAGAAAAGGAAGACUGUCCCUUCAAACACUAUUGAAAUUCCUCCCACAAGAGGAAGAGCCACAAGAAGUAAGCUAAAAAAAAUGAGGAAGAGCUACGAGAGCCUUAGAAGAAAGCAAAAAAAAAGGGAGGGACAAAGGGAAGAAGAAGGUGGGAGAGAUUGUUGAGGCCGUUGAUGUGGAUGAGAUGGACCUUGUCUAUAAAGAUGAAGAUGUGAUUGUUGAAGUGGAGGUUCGGACUCCCAGGCCCAAGAAAGCCAAGACUUCCACUAAGAAGUCUACUUCUAUGUCAAAGUCUGGUAAAUCGUCCUUAAAAAUAGGACUAGGUCUCCAAUGAAAACCAAACAAGUAAAAAUUGUUGAAGAAGAGGAAUGGAGCGAAGAAGAGGAAGAUGAAUCAGACAGUGAAAAGGAAAAAAUGGCCAAGUUUGGCAAAAGAACUAUUUUGAAGGGUAGACUCCUCAAUGAGUUGGAAGAGGAAGGGAUGGUGCUACUGUUGAGGAAAUUAGAAGUACAAGGCUGGAAGGACAUGGUCUUUCGGAUGAUGGUAGGUUAGCCAGAGAUGAAGUUGUUAAUUUUAUGGAAAAUACUGCAGUGAAGGAUGGAAUGGUUACCAGAUUGGUGAAAGGGUGAAAAUCUCUUUCAAUAUGAAGGAGUUGGGUGAAAUUGUAGGUGUACCUGCUGAUGGGUACAAUGACUACAAAAAGCUUAAGUGGCCAAGCCUAGAAAAUCUUAUUAUUGCCCUUGCCAUCACUAGAAAAUUCAGUGUUCAUGAGGAGGAAAGUGAGCCCAAGGCUGUGCACAAAAGUACGAUGAAGCCACCCCACAAGGUGCUAUUCGAAUUCAUUAUCAAGUGUAUUCUGCCAAGGUAGGAAAGGAGGCACAUUACAAGCUUCAUGGAUUUGGUCCUGAUGGAGUGUUUGGACAAUGAGUGGCCGAUUAAUUGGUCUGGAUAUAUAAUCCAGCUUCUUAAUAGGGUUAUCAGUGGCACCAAGUCUUAUGCCAGUCCCUAUGGCUUUAUUUUCAAAGUUGUUCUUGCAUAUUUUAUGGUGCCUUUGAAGAAGUGGGAGGUGGCUAUAAGAAAAAAUCACUUUGGGGCAAAAACUUUGAUUGCUUGUGACUAUGAGGUCCAUGACACUCCUAAUGAACUUGGUUUAUCCAAGAAGGCACCGGUCAAUAGCAAGGACAGAGCCUUGGUGCAGAAAAGUGGGGCAAAGGUGUCACGCCCCGAAACUAGGCCUAGACAUAACACGACACUCGGUGCAUGACUACAUAUGACCGAGGGAACAAGCUGGCUGGAUGAAUCAACAUAUGAUAUCAUAACAUACUAAAUGCAGAAGACAAACUAACACAUGCUGAUAUACUGAAAGUUUGUAUGAUAAAAAUCAAAGUGUGGAAACACUAAUAGAAGUCUUAAAUAUGUUUGUAGAAAACAUUGAUUAACGUAAAAGGCUUGUGACUCUAUCUAACUAUUACUCUAAUAAAUGAAGCCUCUAUUUAAGUACUGAAAACACUAGCUGUCUGUAAAUACUGAAAGACUGUAAAGUAAUGAUAAUGCCCCGAAAGAACUGGGGAUCACCAAGUAGCUGGUAUGAGAAUCCUAACGCUCUAAAUCGUCAACCUAUAAAUCAGUACAUGCAUUGUGAGGUGCAGGCCCUAGGAAGAAAAGGGAAAUCAAUACAUUUGAAUUGCACCAAUUAUGUAAAGCAACUGAAAGAAAGAAUUAUAAAUGCUCAAACUAAUACGGGGCUGAUAACUGAGAAUUGAUAAAUGGUAACUGAAAUUUGAACUGUUAAAAAUCAAACUGGAAUGAUAACUGAUAGCUGAUAACUGAGAUAAUAACUGAUAACUAAUAAUUGAUGACUGAAAUUAUAGUUGACAACUGAACAGAACAAAGGAAGUAAGGAUAUGAAUACUCCCUCAUCUGAAUGAUGAUCAACAUGUUUAUCUAAGUAUUAAACUGUAGCCUUGACCCAAUAUAUAUGUGCACAAACUACAGCCUCGGACCCAACUGUACGUAUACAUAAUUGCGGCCUCAUGCCCAAAAUUUAGGUUUUCAACAUUUAGUGAUUCAAAAUCAGGAACUCAGAAUCAUACUCCAACACAUGAUACUGAAAUACUGAAUCAGACUGAUUAUAAGAUACUGGAAUACUGAAUAGAACUAGACUGGGACAUGUAUUCUUGAGCUGAUUAUGAAAACUAAAACUUUAAGUGUCUAUGACAUGCUGAGUAAUCUGUACUGAGACUCGGGUGCAUGAAACCCCAGUCCAUAUUGAAUAUGCACUGAGCUCAGAACAUUCAUAGUGGAAGUCAUGAAUGAGUUAUGAAGCUAGAGAAUAUAUGUUUUGCAACAAUUCAAGGAAUUAGGCUUAACUAUGUUUCUGAGGCAAUUAGUAACGUUGUAAAAAGAAAUGUAAUGUAGGAAGAAUCAUUUACAUACUCAAAUAUAGAGAAUUAACCUCACAUACCUCUAUUUUGCCCCUUAGUGAUACUACAAUGAUCCACAAUACUAAGAACCUUCAAUCUACAAUAGCAAUAUCUAAUGGAACCAAUAUUAGUAACAAAUUCCAUUAUUAUCAAACACCUUGUAACCAUAAAUCUCUACAUCUCAUCACUAUAUAAAUUAGUUAAUCCAACUAUCACCAUUCAUCAAUAAUUUAUCCCACCAUCAUGAUUAACCACUUUAUAACUUCCAAUAUCACAUAUAUGACCAUCCAUCCACACCUGACCAACAAAAUUCCAUCAAAUAAUUUUCUCUCAAUCUCUACAAUAGUUAUCUAAUUAAAUUGGGGACUUAUGGCUACAAAUCACCAUACCAAGAGUUCCAAUACUUAUUCAUACUCAUAUUCUCUUAACAAAUUCACACAUGUAAGUCUAAGGGUGUAGGAUUACCUUUUCUAGAAGAAAUCUUGCAAAACCUUCCUUUGAGUUCUUGAAGAAAUCUCUUGAAGAUCUAAGCAUUUUAUAUAUAGAUUUUAGCAAUACUACUAUAGAAAUGAUGGAAUCCACACCAAGACAAUAGGUAUUGCUUACCUUGAAGAUGGGAGGGGUUGGAGGUCUUGAGAGAGUGGAGGAGAAUCCUAAAAUUCAUCCAAAAAAGGGGGAAGAUGGACCCCGAAAUAGUGUAUAGGCCCAAAUUUUGGAUACAGACUUGGAUGCUUCUCAUCCUUAGUUCACUCCUCUCAGGAGCUCAGAUGCUGACCGGAUGCUAUGGAAGCACUUCACUACCAACUCCUCCGCCAGCCUUUGGUAAUCGGUCAUAACUUCUUGUAGAAAUGUCCAAAUGACGAACGAUUUGAACAGUUAGAAACUGGACUCAACGAGAAUUAAUUUAAUAAGUUGUCCAUCACAUGCACACACACACACACACACACACACACACAUAUAUAUAUAUAAGUCUUAAAUAUGUUUGUAGAANNNNNNNNNNNNNNNNNNNNNNNNNNNNNNNNNNNNNNNNNNNNNNNNNNNNNNNNNNNNNNNNNNNNNNNNNNNNNNNNNNNNNNNNNNNNNNNNNNNNNNNNNNNNNNNNNNNNNNNNNNNNNNNNNNNNNNNNNNNNNNNNNNNNNNNNNNNNNNNNNNNNNNNNNNNNNNNNNNNNNNNNNNNNNNNNNNNNNNNNNNNNNNNNNNNNNNNNNNNNNNNNNNNNNNNNNNNNNNNNNNNNNNNNNNNNNNNNNNNNNNNNNNNNNNNNNNNNNNNNNNNNNNNNNNNNNNNNNNNNNNNNNNNNNNNNNNNNNNNNNNNNNNNNNNNNNNNNNNNNNNNNNNNNNNNNNNNNNNNNNNNNNNNNNNNNNNNNNNNNNNNNNNNNNNNNNNNNNNNNNNNNNNNNNNNNNNNNNNNNNNNNNNNNNNNNNNNNNNNNNNNNNNNNNNNNNNNNNNNNNNNNNNNNNNNNNNNNNNNNNNNNNNNNNNNNNNNNNNNNNNNNNNNNNNNNNNNNNNNNNNNNNNNNNNAUUCGUGUGUGUGCGCGCGCGUGUGCUGGGGGGAUAUGUUCGUCCAAAGUGUGGUCUUGUACUUACCCAUUUGUAAUUUUAGUCUUUCAUGUAAUUUUCCAACUUGGCUUAGACUUAGGUCUCUCCUUGAACCCCAAAUCACUUAUGAUAUACCUCGUACACUUACUAUUAUAUCCAAUUGAUAACCAUCAUAUUAAUAGUCCUCGUCUGCACACGACAGAUUCAGAUUUAAGGAGUGUUACAUUACCCAUACUCAUCCCGAUAGGGCUUCACAUGUCUAAAAGAUCAUAUUAUACUCAUUUAACACAUCCACAACUAAUCCGGAUUUACUAGGUGUUACAUUAUCUCCCCUUGGGUUCAUUCAUCCUCGAAUGAUUAUUCUGGUUAUAGCUACGACUAACUCUAGAUGCUAAGCAUGACUAAUGGAAAAAUGUGAACACUGAAAUGCCAUGAACACUUUCAUUCUAAACUAAAUGAAUACACGAUUACUGAACUGAUGAGAUACUGAACUGAAUAGGUACUAGACUGACUAAACGCUGAAAGGCAUGGAGAUUGUAAAUAAGGUCUGAAUGAGAAGGUUAGUUACAUGAAACAUAAUAUGAAUACUUGGUCCACAGGCAUCAUAAUAUGCAUAACAUGAAACAUAUACAUGAAUACUUGUCUGUUAUGGAUACGUGAAUUCUGAACUAACGUAGAUAUAUGAAUACUAAACUGGCACGAAUAAUUGAGUACUGAACUGAUAUGAACAUAUGAUCACUGAACUGAGAUUAAUAUAUGAAUUCUAAGUUGGCAUGAAUAUCUGAGUAAUGGACCGACAUGCGUAUCUGAUUACUAAAUUGGCUUGGAUGUUCUAACAUGAUAUCUGAAUACUGGAAACACAAUUGUCAUGACAAAAUAUUUGAAUACUGAAAACUUGAUUUUUAUAAAGUUACACGUGAAAUACUGGUGUACAAUCGCUAAUUAUGGUAGAAAGUCUAAAUCAUAAGCUACUUACCCGCUUCAUAGGAUCCUAUAUAGGUUGAUGUAUAUCGGAUUGAGCUUUCCUUUCUUCCCAACUCUUAUAAAAUCUUUCAUAGGUGAAACUUUUAUAAACACCCAAUCCUCAACUUGAAAUUCUAGGUCUCUACGUUGCAUGUUCGAAUAGGACUUUUGGCGACUCUGAGCUAUCUUCAAAUUCUCUUGGUUGAACUUGAAUUUCUCUAUAGCUUGAGGACCAAAUUUGGUACUCUGCUUUGCCAACUUUGAACCAGUCAAUCGACGAUCUACACUUUCGCCCAUACAAAUCAUGCUUUCAUAAUGAUCAAGAUAAUCCUAUUAUAAGGUCCGUAUUUACCAUCUCCGCUAAAGAAUAUAUGUAUUCUGAGAUAAACACUUGGUUUCCUGCUGCUCGACUUUCACUUGCUAGCAAUUCAUAUACUUUGUGAUAAAUUUGGAGACGUUCUUUUUUAUGUCAUUCCACCAAUAAAUCUCCUUGAGAUUAUGAUACAUCUUCUAGGAACUUGGGUGGAUAGAAUACCUGAAAUUAUGGGCUCCUAACAUCUUCGUCCCUCACUAAGUCCAUCUAUAGUUGGAACAUACAGUCUGUCGCGGUACCUCAAAGUACUAUCAUCGCCCCUUGUUUAAAAGCCAUCAUCUUAUGCCUGUGAAUCCCCCCUUUCAGCUAUAACAAGUAGGGAUCUUGAAACUAUUUCUCUUUCACUUCGGCUAAUAAGGAGGAACAAGUCAUAUUCUAGACAACAACUCCACUAUCUUUGAAGUACACAAAUUGAACUCCUAGAUGGGUAAGCAGUGAACUUCUUUCACCUGAGUUCUCUUAUCCACAUCAAUCAUGAAUUAUACUUCCCACACUUUAUUAUCUUCUUAAGCACUUUCUAAAAACACUUAUAGUAUUAUUGUGAACUAAGUCUUUGACCUGUACUUGAAAUGUUAGAGCCUCGUGCAAUGGCACUACCCCCAUAAUACGUAAAUGGCCAUGAUUUUAUGGCUUUUCUGUGAUCAUUUAUCAUCAAUAACUGAGCUUGGUGAUCAGUCUACUCACUUUGUGUUUCUUACACAUGCUAGAUAUAUUCUUCGUGGUAAUUAUAUAAUUUUUCCUCAUUACCGUUAAUGACGACUCAUCUUCCAACUUACUUUAGAGAAAUCUUUCUUACUAGGAAAUACUAUAUUAUUCAUAUAAUGAAAAGCUAAUGUAUUCAACAACUAUCAUACACAAUCUUAAUAAUUUAACUUUUCUCACAGUGUCAAUCUUGGGGAAACCACAUUCAAUAAUUCCGUAAGGCUAUUCUUUUGUAGUUUGCUCUCUUAUUGCUAGUUGAUUUUUCUCCCACUGCCAGUGUACUUCAGGUUUAACUUAAACUCUUCGGAUUCUAACAUGCGUUCAGUGUUUCAAACUGUUAUCCGCUCACUAGUGUUUACAAUACUAUGUAAAUCAAAUAAUACAUCUACUAGCUCUGCUGAAAUUGCAAAUUUGUUGUACCUACUCAAAACUGCUAUCCUUUUGUACUAACCACCUGCUAGCAUCAUAUUUUAAUUCUCCUACUUGAAUAACUAAAGUGAAGCAUAAGGUUAUUCCUAACUUCCCUCACCAUCUGACCCUAUUCUAUGGUUGCACACUAUCUUUAUUUUGUACUAUGAACAUGGAUCACACUUAGGGAAAUUUCAUCUAUAUUAAACAAAAUUGGAAUAUCUAACUCCAAAAUUUCUAUACACUUCAAAAUCAUACCAAACUAUAAACGUUUGGGGUAAACACUUAGCCACGUAACCUAAGGGGACAUCAUAUCCUCUAUCUCACAAUAAUACCUACUUCUUGUAGUAACUUACUAAGGUGGUAUUUUCUAUAUGAAUAAAUCUGGACAACUUAAAAUCAUUCCCUAAAAUUUAAUAUCGGGUGCUGUUGAUUCUCAUUUCAUACAUUAUGUCUUCUUAGUCAUAUGCAUGAGACAUAUGAAAAAUACAUCUCUGGUAAUAUCAAACAUUUCUGACUGCUAGGAAUUUUGCCCUUAGUCUUUUUUGUUUCCAAAACUAUAAUGACUGAUUAUAGGCCAUUUCCGAUCAAAUUCUUAACUUGCUACACUGUAUGGUCUGAAAUCUAAAUUAUCGUCAUCCAACUUGUGGCUCAAUUUCUAUGAAUUAAAAAUGAAUUUGUUCUUGUGAGGUAAAAACGCACACGGAUACACUACCAUACAACAUGUCCUUCAGAGAUACCAUCAUCUUAUAACUCACAUCCUUCACAAUCUGGUGAGUUUUGGUCUUAAUUCAAACCUAAAACAUGUACAAUUUUGCUAUAAUCAUUGUUCUUACAUUUUCUUUUAGCAGCCAUAGGCACCACCAUAUACUCCCAAGUCAGCAGAGGUUGGAUACAAUGAAAAUUGAAGAUAUGGUAACUUAAUAACAAAUAACUAGCAUACUGAAUAACCACAAACCCGCUAACUGAAAGAAUGUAUAACUAGUAAAUAAGGUAAGUUGAUAACCAUAAGACAUGAGAACUGCUUUCAUACUUUCUAAUAAGGUUAUGUAUAUGUACUACUAUACAUUGUAUCCUAUUUUCAACAUCCUCUCAAGUCUCACUUUUUACCAAAAUGUACUGAAUAACUAUACCCCAAUAGGUGAUAAUCCUCUUUAGCACCUUAGGUAUUCCUACCCAUGGGCAUUCGAUACGUCUUGAAUUCGAUAGGAAUAGAAGCUUACCUAUUGCUCUAAGUAUCAUGGCACGAUCUAAAGUAGAAAGAAAUGAGACAAUCUUGAAUAUCUUGGUAGUUAACAAUUUAUAUGCAUAGCCGGCACACACAUAUAAAGGAAACUCCAGUAGACACGACUUCAUAGACUCCAUAAGACACUUGAACCUAAUGCUCUGAUACCACGCUUUGUCAUGCCCUGAACUAGGGCCUGGAUGUAACACGACAUUCGGUACCUGAGUACAUGUGAUCGAGCAAACCAACUAGCUGGCUGAAUCAACAUGUGAUAUCAUAGCAUACUAAAUGUGAAAGAUAAACAAACACAUGCUGGUAUAUUGAGAGUUUGAAUGACAAAAAUCAAAGUGUGGAAACACUAAUACAAGUUUGAAACAUGUCUAUAGAAAACAUUUCUUAACACAAAAAGCUUGUGACACUAUCUAACUAUUGCUCUAGUCAAUGAAGCCUCUAUUUGAGUACUAAAACAGUGACUGUCUGUAAAUACUGAAAGAUUGUAAAGUAAUUAUAAUGCCCCGAAAAAACUGGGGAUCCCCAAAUAGCUGGUAUGAGAAUCCUAGCGCUCUAAAUCGUCAACAUAUAAAUCAAUACUUGCAUUAUGAGGUACAAGUCCUAGGCAAAAAAGGUACAUAAGUACAUUUGAAUUGCACUGAUAUGUAAAGCAACUGAAAGAAAGAAUUAUAAAUACUCAAACUAAUACUAAGCUGAUAAUUGAUAACUAAAAUUAUAACUAUUAAAACUCAAACUGAAAUGAUAAUUGAUAGCUAAUAACUGAUAUAAUAACGGAUAACUGAGUUGAACAAAGGAAGUAAGGAUAUGAAUACUCCCUCUUCUGAAUGAUGAACAACAUGUUUAUCUGAAUAUUAAAUUGCAUCCUUACACUCCUCCGCCAGCCUUUGGUAAUUUUGUCAUAACUUCUUGUAGGAAUGUCCAAAUGACGAACUGUUUGAAGCGUCAGAAAUUAGACUCAAAAAAAUUUAAUUUAAUAUGUUGUGCAUCAAAUAAAACCUUAUAUAUAUGUGGAUAUGCUCGUCCAAAGUGUGAUCUUGUGCUUACCCAUUUGAAAAUUUGUCUUUUAUAUAAUUUUCCAACUUGGCGUAGACUUAAGUCUCUCCUUGGACCCCAAAUCACUUAUGAUAUACUUCGUACACUUAUUAUCAUAUUCAAUUGAUAACCAUCAUAUUAAUAGUCCUCAUCCGCACACGACUGAUUUAGAUUUAAGGAGUGUUACAUUACCCAUACUCAUCCUGAUUGGGCUUCACAUGUCUAAAAGAUCACUUUUAUACUCAUUUAUCACAUCUACAACUAAUUCGGAUUUACGGGGUAUUAAAAAAAGAUGUUGAGAUAGCAAGGCUGAAGAUAUGGUUGGCUGAGGUAGAGUCUGAGAGAGAUGCUCUCUGAAUUGAAUGUAAGGGAAACAGAGAAGAAUGAUGAAAUUCUUCAAGACAUGUUGAAACUUCUCCAAGCCAAAAACCAAACCCCUAGUUCUUCCAAGCCUUAAACUUUCUAGUCUAGUGUAGAUCAACCAGUGACCCAGUUCGGGACUUUUUAUUUAUUUUUCUCAUAUUUUAAGUAUUUUUAUGUCUUCUUAUGCUUUAUGGUAGAAUCUUAUCAAUCAUCAAUGAAAUUCACUAUUUUUGCUCUAACUAUUUGUUUAUAUUUCUUUGAUGGUUGAAAUUCUUAGCUUGGUCUCUGAUGAUUAAUCCAUGUCUGCAUUUGAAGUAGUCUAGUGGCCAUGAGUAAGUUUAAAAUCUAGUUAUCUCACAUUUUUUAUGCAACUUUUCAAUGAUACCAAAUGGGGGAAAAGGUUGUAAUUUAUACUUUGAACAAUGAUGUUUAUAACCUAAUGAACUUGAUCCUUGAUAAGUGAUAAAAAAGAAAAAUAUUUCUAUAUUGUGUUGAUGUUGAUCUAAGUUGAAACAUGGCCUAAGCUUAUGAUAAAACAUAGAGUUUGUCAUCAUCAAAAAGGAAAAAUUUAUUGGCCCAAGUGAAGGUUAGUUUUGAAGAUUGACAAAGGAAGCUCAGGCAUGAACCGGGUUCAUCCCUUGGGUACAUGGAACCGGGCAGAUUCGAGCAUGUGGGAUGCACAUGAACGAGAUAAGCUUAACUUGGUAUAUUUGAUAUUUCUUGAUUGAAAAGAUUGCAUAAUUGAUAAGGAGAAGGAUCCCUUACUCAAAGAGAACAUUAUCCAAGAUAGAGAAGAAGUUAGAAGUUGAGAUCAACUAGAACUCUUCCACCAAGGAAGAGUAGCAUUAGAACUCUAGUUGCUUUUUAUUCUACUUACUCUAUAAAUAGUAGAAUAUUCUCAUUUUAAAGGCAUGCACAAACGCAUAAGUUAAACAAGAAUUGAGAGCAAAAUAACAAACCACUGUGGAAGCAGUUCGUGUGUGAUUCAAGUGUGCAAAUCUGAAGCUACAUGAAUCAGAAAGAACAACCAAUUUCAAGUGUCUGUCUUUUAUUCUAGUUCAAUUGUAGUAGGUAUUUUCAUAUUGUACCUUUCANNNNNNNNNNNNNNNNNNNNNNNNNNNNNNNNNNNNNNNNNNNNNNNNNNNNNNNNNNNNNNNNNNNNNNNNNNNNNNNNNNNNNNNNNNNNNNNNNNNNNNNNNNNNNNNNNNNNNNNNNNNNNNNNNNNNNNNNNNNNNNNNNNNNNNNNNNNNNNNNNNNNNNNNNNNNNNNNNNNNNNNNNNNNNNNNNNNNACGCAAUUGUAAUAGGUACUCAGAGUAUUCAAGUUAGAGUUAACUUGAAGUUGUCGCAAUAGUUAGAGGUUGUUUGCCAUAAUGGAAUUAGAGUUAUUCCUAGGUUUACAAAAGUAUUUUGUAAAUGUAGUAUUUGGCUUAGUAAUUUAGUGGAGAGUUUGGGAAAAUCCUACUGGGAAGUAGGUCGUGAUUUUUUCACCUUUUGAGGCAGGUGUUUUUCACGUAAAAAUACUUGUGUUUUUUUAGUUUUUGCAGUUACUAUUCCACAAUAGUAGUAUAAGGAACACAUAGAAAAACCAAAUCCUUCUAUAAUCUGUGCAUGCGAAAAAUUGAAUACCACACAAAUUAUUCCCUCUUGUGUGGUAUCGAUGUAUAAAACAUCAAACUUAAAUGCGAGUAAGAUAUUGCAACCAAACACCCACAAUGAAUGUGGAACUUAUUACCAAGAUUAUUUUCAACAGUACAUGCAACGAAACAACCUCAUUAUACUUGCAUCAGACGAUACUUAGUCUUAUUUUAUCGAGCAUGGCUCUCUAUUUUAUCAACAAAUAAAGUCUUAUUUUAUAGAGCAUGGCUCUCUAUUUUAUCAAAUAACUUGAGAAAUGCAAGUGCAGCAUCUCUUGCCUUUUCUGGUGCAGGCAUUGUUGGUACAAGUGGCUCAUACUCUGCUUGCCAUUCUGCUACACACUGCUUAUCGUUGUCUCGAGCAGGAAUGAAAGAGAAGGUAACUAUAUAUGGAUUAUACAUGUUACUUAGAUCACCAUCAGUUACUUGGUAUGUCACUGACCUCCCUUGUUCCACCUUCUCUAUCUUUUCAAUUGACUGUUUGACAUAGCUGCUCAAUGCUGCGUAAAGAGAACCAUGAAUGAAUAUCUAUAGUCAAACCUCUCUAUAAUAACCUUAUUUGUUCCGGUUAUUUUGACUGUUAUAGCGAAGUGAUGGUAUACGUAGAGAAUAUAUAUAUUAUAAUAUAGCAUAAAACUUAAUUUCAUAAAAAAUUUAACUAUUAUAGUGAAUGCUUGUUAUUGAUGCUGCUAUAGCGAGAUCUAACUGUAAUUGCAUGUGUUUGUCUGAAGCUUCUUAUCAAGUUGAUUGCAAUUUGGAGGGUAAGUUGAUUCUCUCGUGAUUGUGAUCAAGGUGGAGCUACAAGGACAGAAAGGAUUCAUCCGAUACCCCUUCGCCGAAACUUACAAUAUGUAUAAUGAGGUUAUAGUUUUUUUAUGUUUAUAUAGUAUAGACCUUCUUGGUGAAAAUUCUGUCCCUCGCUGCUGGUUAUGACAUCAUUAUCGAGGAUAGGGUGAAGUUAUGAUUGGCCAAGGGUGGUCAACUGAAUACUCUUUGUCGAACAAUUAUAUUAUGUAUAUGAUAAAAUAUUGUUUGUUACUGAUAAAAAAUAGAUUUAGAACGCUCUUGGAUAACUUGCAGACAAAGAAUAUUCAAACUUUGAACACCCUUCUCGGAAAGCAAAGUAAAUAAAGUCUUAGUUUAAGUUUUUUGGACACUGAUGAUGUAAUAAUAUUUUACAUAAUCAGUUCAUUUAAAAAGGUUACUGCAAUAAGAAUGAACUAGCGACCUAGAAUAAAUACUAAAAUAACUUGCUAUUAUAGGUUAAGAUAAAUUAUACACAUAGCAAAAAUAUUUUCAUUAUUAGCGUAAAACAACUUAAAAGUUAAAUCCAAACUACAACAUGUUAAAAUACAUAUAUAGUAGUAAUAAGUUAAUGUAAGUGCUCUUAAACCUUGCUAGCUCAUAGUCCCUCUUUCUUUUUUUCCCUCCCCUUUUCCCUUUUGUAUGAGGCAAACCAAACAACUUAAUAAAUUAAAGAGAGAAUACAUAUUACUCAACUAUGGCUAAUUCUAAAACAUUGCAUACAUGAGAGACGUGUUGAUGCAAACAUCGGGUGCGAGUAAAUUAUUUUUCGAAAUGUUCUAUUAAAAUUGAUGGCAAUGGAGGGAACAUAAGACUCACCAGGGCCACGCCUGAGACUUCCAGGCUGUCCUUCCCCUUGAAUGUAUUCGGCCAUAGCAAGCUUUUCUGGAUUUAUUCUGCUAAUUUUAUCAUUAUCUCUGUACAUUUCCCAUGCUUUUUCUGCAGGGAUAUUAAGCACAAUUUCACCUUUCGUUGCUUUCAUCUCUCUCCACAACUCUCUUUCUCUCUCGGCCUAUCUACAUAAGCAUGAGAUUGCUACAAAAACUUUAUUAUAUACUUCAAAUAAACAAUAUUUUAUUGAGAAGAGAAAUUAAAGCAAUUAAAAAGAGCUCAAAAGUUUUGCAUUCUUUGCCCAGAAUCUUUACACUUGGUGUCCAUCAAGUAUAUCUUGCAUCACUUACCCAAUAAAAUACGAAGAGAAAAGAACAACUAUUCUUUUCCUUUUUCUUUUCUAUGGCUUUAAUAGUCAUAUGCACCAAAUCAUGAUUCUGGACUACCUUUAUUUAAAUUUGAAUAGUUAAUAGGCAACUAUUACAAGAUAACAUUGCAACCAGAGGCGGAUUCGGGAUUUAAUUUCUGUGGGUUCAGUUUUUAAGGUUUUUAGCAUUGAACUCAUUAUAUUUUUAAAAUUAUGGAUUCAUAUCUACUAUUUUUGCAAUUCUAAUGAAAUUUUGCGCAUAAAUAUUUACUCCGCGUCCAAAAAUUAUGAAUUCAAUUGAAUCUGUUGCUAACAAGCAACAUCUGCCCUUGAAUGCAACAUACCACCAAGGGAGCGGUACGAUGGUUGGAUCUCUCCACCUUUCAUCAUAAGUGUCUGGUUCGAGCCAUGAGAAUUAAAAAUCAUUCUUGGUAAAAAGCACUUUACCCCCGAUUAGGACUACUCGACACAAAUCUAAGUUAAUCGAGUUAUUGAGUUUUUAAUUCAAAUAUCGCAUGUCUAAAGCAAGGGGAAAAACAUCGCAACAUAUAUUCGAUCGAGCCGUGGAAACAACCAUUAACGCUUGCAGUAGAGUAGGUUGGUUACAUAAUAUCCCUUGGGUGAGUCUUUCCGCGGACCUUGCGUGAAAUCCGGAUGCUUUGUGCACCGAUUUUGUCCUUAUAUAUUCUAUAUAUCUGAUGCAGGACACCACAGACCAAGAGAUUAUGAUGGAUUUACUAGAAAAUUUUCUGAAUUUAAGGGAGAUCAUCCUAGUAUGAAUUCAGCAACCAAUGUACUAAAAACAUAAGGCAGUUAUUUUUCUUUCAUUUGUUACGCCUCCACAGAGUUUAUACUUUAACGUGAUCCAUUUCUUCAGUAGCUAUAAAAGAAUGUCCCAUAUAAGUUAUAUACUCAGAUGUCCUUAAGAAUUUAUUCCCCAAAAAGUUACUUUUUUAACAACUUUAAAAAAGCAGCCUGAUGUAUUAAGCUCCCGCUAUGCGCGAGGUCCGGAGAAGGAUUGGACCAUAAGGAUCUAUUGUACGUAGUCUUAUCCUACAUUUCCGCAAGAAGCUAUUUCCAUGUCUCGACUCCGUGACCUCUGAUCACACGGCAGCAACUUUACCAAUUACGCCAAGGUUCCCCUUCUUCUAACAGCUUUAACAACAUAAAUCAUAUCCAGGGGAUAGAGAAAGGAGAGUGAGAAGAGAUAAUAAGCAUCUUGAUUCAAUGGCGAACGACAAAAUGAAUUGCUCUCUAGAAAGUGAAAAACAACAGCUAGGAAUGUACAAAUUGCGAGACUUGUCCCUGGAUUGCCGAAGAAUACGAGGCAACAUGAAGCCAUUUAGGCGAUUAUCAAUCGGCAGACCAAGUCAGCUCACUUCCUGCCUAUCAGUAUGACUUACUCUAUGGGCAAGCUAGCAUAGUUCUUUUGUUCCCAUCGGUGCCAUUAAGGCUUUUUUACCUUCCACUGCUCUCAAAAGUGCAGAUAACUUGAUGCUUAACACUAUGAUUCAAUAGAAAGUACUGUAACCAAAUAUGGAUGACUGUGAAUACCUUACAAUACAGCCAAUAUUUGUUUUUUAAUUUCCCACCCGGUAUCGGAUACCUGCAUUAUGGCCCUACUAAAUCUUGAUUCGCGCAUAUUAUGGAAUAGUAACCGGAUCAAAGCAUCACAAGCAAGGUCAUUCCAGUAACUCUAAUGGUAAUUGGGAAAGCCUUGUUAUCCCAUUGGUUCUGAAGUAUUUACAGUAUCAGAUAUUCUGGAGUUUGAACAGAGACUUCAAUCUUACAACGUUAACAAGUUAACCUUCUCUAUUAAUCUGGGAACAACCAGGAUUGAUCAAAAGAUAACAAUAGAGAGCACAUGUUCGAUAUUAAAAAGAGGUAUUCAGAAGAUCUUCUACAUUGCAAUAACUGGGAGCGCAUUGCCUUACAACCAAUAAAACUUCAGAAGUAAGACAUAGCAAAUAUACAACACAUAGCACGACAAUGCAUAAUACACCACCGUCAAAUACCUACCUAUAUGACCCUUUAUUCAGCAAAUAGAUAGUAUUCAAGUCAAACUGUAGUUUCACCUUUUAAACUUCUUGAGACAAUACAUGGAACAUAAUUAAAUUAGUUGGGCUGAUCCCUACCACCCUCUCUGAGAAGCGCCUGAAGAAUGUCCAUUCAGACUAUCAAGCACAGUAUUGAAAUCAACCGUUUGACCACUCUCCUCAAGCCUCUGAAUCACAUUAACCACGUGAUCGCCCCUGUACCCCAUGCUUACCAUUUUCU
rnacentral:lncRNA from 1 species